UUUUUUUUCAGGUUAGAUCCUUUGUCCCAGCAACCGUUUAGCCUCGCACAUUCCUUCAAUAAGUGUCUUUGUUGAAUUUGUGUGCCUACUCGUUCAAUUGUUGCUGGUUACUUGUGUUUAAUCUCUUGUUUCUCAUUUUUCCUGUAACCCUAGUUUUCGCCGCCGCCGCCGUUCCGCUGCUCGCCAACCCUACCAGCCGCGCCCACCGCACCCCCCCCACUUGCGACAACCGCGCCGCGCCAUCCCACCACUCCGAUCGCCCCUCCCCUGUCAAAAAAAAAAGAUAGAAAGCAAUAAAAAAAAAGGAAAGUGCAAAAAAAAAAAGGAAAGAAGCAAACCAACAAAAAAAAUCCAACGGGGAGACGGAAGGUGAUCCGGUUUUGUUUCGGUGGAAACUCCUUGCACGUGCCGUGAACCCCCCUGGGUCACGACCCUCCGGGGCAACUCCGUAACCCCCCCCCCACGCAUACCACGCCCUUUGCCACGCAUCCCGUGCCAGCUUUUAAAAUCCAUCUCUCUCUUUCUUGGUACUUUUUUCUGAGGUUCGCCUUACUCUAGAGAGAGAGAGAGAAAAAAAAAAGUGUGUGCCAUAAUUUGCUGUUUGUGAUCCUCUGUGUUCAUAUUAUCAGUUUUGGGGCACCCUCUGUAAAAAAAAAUAGAAAAAAAAAACAAAAGAGGUGCGCCCUCUCCACCUUUGCCUCUAAUCUUUUGAUUUCCCUUGUUCCAGCAACUCUUGUUACGUGUUUGGCACUAUAAUUCAACUUUGCAUUAUUGUUUGAUUGUGCUAAUCCUUCAUUUGAGUGCAGCCUUCCCAAAAAUCCACAUAGUUCUACGACGAGCAACUUUUGUUUCUCCAGGCAAUCGCUCCUCCAAUCUUUCACAAGUUCCACCGGUUGGUUGCAGUUCACCCCUGUGUGCGUGGUAAGAACGGAUAAGAAUUUGAUAACAGCACUAGUGUGAGCGCCUUGUGAGCCGUUACACCCCUGUUUUGUCAUCGCUUUUGUUCUUGUAUUUGCGCUAACCAUGGCAGAUGAUGUCGACGUGGGGGCUAACCAGCUGCAGGGCAUACGGGCGCAAGUUGAAGGGCUUGUCACCGACAUUUAGACGAUUCAUGAACGGCUGGACUCGACGAUCUCCUCGACGACCGAGCGGUGUGAUCAGCUCGACCUUGCACAGACGGCCGCUAAGGCCACACUCGACUCAGUUGUGGCAAGACUCGAUGCAUUGCACACAAUAGUCGCAGAGUUACAGCAGGGUUAUGGUGGUGACUCGGACCAGGACGAUGGCGACCGUUGAGGCCGUGCCCGCCGCGUGCCACGCCGUCCCGGUGGUAAUGAUUCCUUUUCCAAGAUUAAAUUUAAAAUUCCACCUUUUAAUGGCAAAUAUGAUCCUGCUGCAUAUCUUGAUUGGGAAUUAGAAGUUGAACAGAAAUUUUCAUGCCAUGAUAUUCUUGCUAAUUCUCAAGUUAAAGCUGCUAUUAGUGAAUUUACUGAUUUUGCUUUAAUUUGGUGGCGUGAAUAUAAACACAAACAUCCCAAUACCAUUCCAACCACUUGGGAGCAAUUAAAAACUGCUAUGCGCCACAGAUUUGUGCCUUCUUAUUAUGCCCGAGAUUUGCUUAAUAAAAUGCAACGUUUUCAGCAAGGUUCCAAAUCUGUUGAGGAAUAUUUCCAGGAAUUACAAAUAGGCAUGAUUCGUUGUGGGUUAUUGGAGGAAAAUGACGCUGCUAUGGCACGUUUUCGUGGUGGUUUGAACCGCGAAAUUCAGGAUAUACUUGAUUAUAAGGACUACACCGAUAUGACAACAUUAUUUGAAUAUGCUUGCAAAGCUGAACGUGAAGUGCAGGGACGCCGCUCGAAGACAUAUUCUAACUCUUUUGCAGGAAGAAGCUCGACAUCCAACUCCGCACCCACUCUCCCUGCGCCACCCACGCCCACCACUACACCGCGCGAGCGAACGGCCAAACCUGCCAGCGCUGCCCCUUCCACAGGCGCCGCCCCUCCCACAGGCCGUACACGGGAUAUUCAGUGUCAUUGUUGCAAAGGAUUUGGCCAUGUGAUUCGGGACUAUCCGAACAAGCGCACUUUGCUUCUUCGUGACGAUGGUGAGUACUCUUCCACUAGUGAUUCUGAAGAUACUCGACAUGCGAUGCUUGCCACUGACCAUGCAGCUAUGGAGGUACAUGUCAACCCAGGCGACGCCGAUAGGUAUGAAAGUCUUGUUGUGCAGCAUGUUCUUAGUACACAGGUCGCCCCGUCCGAGAAGAAUCAGCGACACACUCUUUUCCAUACCAAGGGCGUUGUGCAGGAGCGGUCGAUUCGCAUCAUCAUCGACAGCGGCAGCUGCAACAAUUUGGUGAGUACCAUGCUGGUUGAAAAGUUGUCUUUACCCACUCGUAAGCAUCCACAUCCAUAUCACAUUCAAUGGCUUAAUGAUGGUGGGAAAAUUAGAAUUACUCGAUCAGUCUGUGUUCCUUUCUCCAUGGGUGCUUAUUCUGAUUUUGUCGAUUGUGAUGUUAUUCCCAUGGAAGCAUGCUCUCUGUUACUUGGGCGACCUUGGCAAUAUGAUACUGAUAGCUUGCAUCAUGGUCGUUCAAAUCACUAUUCCUUCAUGUUUAAGGGUCAGAAAAUAAUUAUACAUCCAAUGACACCUGAACAAAUUCUUAAAGAUGAUCUUGCUAGAGCUGCUAAAACUGCUAAACAACUUGAACCAUCGACAUCUAUUAAUUCUAAAAUCAAGUUGAAUGCUCCUGUUUUGCUUGCCACACGUGCUGAUUUUGAUGAGUUACGCGAUGCUCCUUUGCCAUGCUAUGCCCUUAUAUGCUCUAGUGUGCUCGUUUCACUUGAUGAUGCACCAUCUUUGGAUAUUCCCCUUGCGGUUGCUAACAUUUUGCACGAGUACGCUGAUGUCUUUCCAAUAGAUUUACCACCAGGACUCCCACCACUUCGUGGCAUUGAGCACCAGAUCGACCUCAUUCCCGGCGCACAGCUUCCGAACCGCGCACCAUACCGUACAAAUCCGGAUGAGACGAAGGAAAUCCGGAUGAGACGAAGGAAAACGGCUUUUAAAACGAAAUUUGGGUUAUAUGAAUGGUUGGUUAUGCCGUUUGGUUUGACAAAUGCGCCCAGCACAUUUAUGCGUUUGAUGAAUGAAGUUCUAAGGCCCUUCAUAGGAUUGUUUGUAGUUGUCUAUUUUGAUGAUAUCCUCAUUUACAGCAAGUCUAUGGAAGAGCAUUUAGAACAUUUGCGUGCUGUUUUUGAUGCGUUGCGUGCGGACCAUUUAUUUGCUAACCUCGAAAAAUGCAUGUUUUGCACACAACGUGUCUCGUUUCUUGGCUAUGUUGUUACUCCACAGGGCAUUGAGGUGGAUAGCAGCAAGAUUGAUGCCAUUCGGGAGUGGCCUACACCGACGAAGGUCACACAAAUUUGAAGCUUUCUUGGCCUUGCAGGUUUCUACCGCCGGUUUGUUCGUGAUUUUAGCUCCAUUUCAGCACCUCUACAUGAGCUUACAAAGAAGGAUGUUCCCUUUGCUUGGAGUGCUUCGCAAGAGGUUGCGUUCAGCACCUUGAAAGAUAAGUUAACCAAUGCUCCUCUCUUGCAGUUGCCUGAUUUUACUAAAGUGUUUGAGCUUGAAUGCGAUGCUAGCGGUAUUGGGCUAGGUGUUGUUUUGUUACAAGAAGGAAAACCUGUUGCUUACUUUAGCGAGAAAUUAAGUGGUGCUAGCUUGAAUUAUUCUACUUAUGAUAAGGAGCUUUAUGCUUUAGUGCGCACUUUGCAUACUUGGCAGCACUACCUUUGGCAUCGCGAGUUUAUAAUUCAUUCUGAUCAUGAGGCUUUAAAACAUAUUCGUACCCAAACAAACCUGAACCGUCGUCAUGCUAAAUGGGUAGAAUUCAUUGAGUCUUUCCCUUACAUUAUUAAACACAAGAGCGGGAAGGAAAAUGUCAUUGCUGAUGCUUUGUCUCAUCGCUAUACCAUGCUGUCACAGUUAGAUUUUAAAAUCUUUGGCUUGCAAACUGUGAAGGAUCAAUAUGUGGAUGAUGCUGAUUUUAAAGAUGCUUUCACCCACUGUAUUCAUGGCAAACCAUGGGGCAAAUUUCACAUUCAGGACGGGUUCCUAUUUCGCGCUAACAAGCUGUGUGUUCCAGCUAGCUCGGUUUGUCGUUUGUUGAUAUGAACCCGCUAGGGUUGAUUCCCGAUCUUUCGAUGAGAGAGGCGUGGAUAACUCGAUUGGUGGAUGGAGACGACGUUCACGGCCCGACUACAGCCUUCCAAGCUGCGCCUUAGCAACCGAUACACCACCUCCAAUGGCUGCCGCGAUCUUGUGGAGCGCGUCACCCGGCCACUAGGGCACUCGUCCUGCAAGCAAUCGAAGAACAAGCAAGAACAAGUAGAACAAGCAACUCAAUUGCAAAUAUGGAGAUGAAAAACCAAUCUGAAAUCACAAAGUUGGGGUUCUGAAUCAAGUAGAACGGAUGGUCUAGUCGACACACGCGUCUACAAGGAAGUAGCAAUGGCUAAACUUUCAACAAAACAAAACCCAAUCUGUUCGUGGCGGCUCUAAUCCUUAUUAAUACCUAGGAGGACGACCAGGGGGGUGUUGGGGUCGUGCUCCAACCCUAGGACACGUCCCUAAUGGACCCAACUUGAUACACGGCCCAUCGGGCCAAAAUAGGGCGACGCAGCACCUGUGGACAGAAAACCUCUCGAUAGUAUUUCGAUGAUUGCGGUCGCCUCAGAACAGAUAUGGACAUGAGUCCGGAUCCAUAUGAAAAUAGACUUCAUAAGGAUUCCAAGGAGUACUUGAACGCCCAAAACGGAGUCUGGAUGAGGUCGUGGCGGUCGUUGCAAGUUGGGCCAGAACUGUAGUCCGAAUCCAGCACCAAAACGUGUUGGAUUGGAUCUCUUUCUUUCCUUGGGCCAAAAGUGACGUGGUGGCCUGGUGGAGGACGUUAGGAAUACUUGGACUUGGCCCCCAAUCUACUUCUUUGGUCCUCCAUGCCUUCCAUGUGUGUUUAACACUAUUUUUUAUCCAUGUAUGUAUUUCUGAAAUUGACAACGAACACACAUCAUGGUGCAACAUCGAUUCAUCAAAUGUAUCAAAUACAAUCAUGGUAAAGAAUUGUUUCACCUGUGAAUCAAAAGUUACUAAUGUGGUUGUAUCUGAACAGGUGAUGUCCUCAUCAUUCUCCCCUUCUUGGCUGCAAGUCGUCCUCGACUUGCUCCAAUGGCAUUCGAAGGUGCUUGUUUUGAUGUUGGGGCACGGAGCGACGACCAUGCUGCAUGGCCACAACCAGUAAUGCUCCCCUUCUUUGCCCUUACACUGUUGCAUAUGAGAAAAACUAGAAAAGCUUUGGAAGACAUUAUUAGUGUUAGUGCAGCCCUCUAUUUGAUCUUGGUAUUGGUGCCCAAAAGGAUAUUUCAUAUUAGAGCAAAAAUAAACUUUAUGCACCAAAUAUUCUCCUUUGCUGUCAUAUUUGCCAAUUGGAUGAAGCGAACAAUGAUUAAAGCUUGGCAAACCAGAAUCAAAUUUAAGUCUCUCUUGUAGACAACUUAGAUUACACAGAACAUCAAAUUCAAUAUAACCCAGAGUAUUUAAAGAGGAUAGCAAAUUCAGUUCAUCUUGUGCACAACUAAUUGGAUGAAAAAGCUUUGCUUCAGCACAUUUAUAUGUUUCCAAACAAAAAGUAUCACACUUAUUUGUUACUUGUGGCAUAGGAGGAAAAGAAUCAUCAUCACACAAGUCUUCUUUAUCACAAGGAACAGCAAGUAAUUCAUUUUGUGACAAAGGAAAAUCAACAGUGGGUUCCACUAUUUGUUGCUCGUCAUUAGCAUGCAAGGUGGACAAAUUUUGGACAUUAUGGGUCACAUCAUUAUUGCAAGUAUUCACAGAUAAUAGAAUCUCCUUUUCAACAUUGAGAGCAAGACAAUACAAUUGAGCAAGAUGCAUACAUGAUUUGCUAAUUAACAGAGUUCGAAUUUCAGAAUUGAGUCCUCUCAUGAACCUACUCAUCACGUCUUCCAUGCAUUCAUCUAAUCCACCAUACAUGAUACAAAUUUUAAAAUCAUGGAAGUAUUCUUUCACAGUCCUACUACCUUGCCUCAAGUUGUCUAAUUUAGCAAGCAAAUAAUCAACAUAAUAUUCAGGAAUGAAUGCAUCUCUAAAAAGAAAUUUAAAGUCUUCCCAAGAUUCUAGAAGUUUCUUACGCCUACAAAUGUGUUUCCAUUGUAGCAAGGCAAAUUCAGUCAAAAUAUUAGAGGCAAUAUAAAUCUUUUGUUUCUCAGACAGGUCAUGCUCAUCAAAUUCAUUAUCUACUUUUAUCUCCCAAUCAAUGUAAGCUUUAGGAUCAAACUUACCAUCAUAUAACGGCAAGUGUUGAAUAACACCCUGAAUAUGAGAGUCUAGUUUCAUCAGCUCCAAAAUCUCCGUAUCACCUGCCAUGGUUAGUAGGAAACAAGAAACACAAAAAUAAUAUGUAUCCUCCUGUCAACUACUAUGAUGUGUUGGUUGUAAUUCUCUCAAACUCAACUUGUAAAAACAAGCCCUUACAAGUUCUUACCAAGCCAAACAGGAGGUGACGGCAACCAACAAGUCUGCAACCGUGGAGUGAAGUGUAUCGAUGCCGCAGCAACAAAAGCCUGUCAAGCUGUAGUCGAAUAUGUGGAGCUCUAGGUGGGCUAAAGCAAGGAAGUACUAGAACCACGUUAGUUGCAAGCAAAUUGAACAAACGCUCAACGACGUUAUUGUGCUGGUCCUAGGCUAGUACGUGCUAGAGACGCGAGCCUGGACACAAACGAAGUCACUAAGCUGCAGCAAGGAAGGAUCACAAGGAGAGGAAAAACAACAAAAGAAAAACCCUUCUCGUCUUUCUUUCUUUCUUUCUUUCUGUUUUUUUUUCUUUCUUUCUUCCUUUCUGUUUUUUUUUCUUUUCUUUUUUUUUCCAAGUAGCACAGAGCUCAAAUUUUGCAACAAGAGAUAACAAGCUACUUACAAAAAUUAAAUAUUUCCUUGGAAAAGGUGAUUCAGUAGCAAAGUCAAACAAGUGGCUGUUUUGCAAAUCCAGCAGAUAUGCAAAUCUCCAGGGUGAUUCCGAAGUGCUCAAAAAGAAUUUGGGACCAAGGACAGAUCCGUUGGAAAGAGGAUAAGUUCAGGUUUCCAGAUUGUAUUCAAACUCCUUAUUCGGACUCCUAACAAAGGAAAUAUGGUGCUUUUCUUCUCAAGAUGAAACAGGACUCCGAAACGAAUUCUGAUUUCAACUUGUGGGAUUUUCUUUUUGGAGAUGGAAGUAUGGAUGUGGAUGAAAGCUCCAAGGAUGUGAUUUGGUUAAUAGUGGUAAACAAAACAAAGGAAUUUGGAAAAUCCAAUCUGAUUUGUGGAGAGAAACAAAUAAACUCGAAUCUGCGAUAGUGACACAAACGUGACAAGAACUCGAAACUCUAAACGACUAGACGCUAAGACCAGCAACUUGACACGACGAUGCAACCGUUAAUUCAAUAAGCCCUAACUAAGUAGUAAUAGUAAAAGGCUCAAAGGGUUUUUUGGGAUUAUGGAGAACUAAGCUACUAAUUUUUUUGGCCUUUUCUGGACUAUAGGAAAUUAAAAACAGCAAGAACUAGAAGUCUCUCACCGAUAAACCUUGCUCUGAUACCAACUGAUAUGAACCCGCUAGGGUUGAUUCCCGAUCUUUCGAUGAGAGAGGCGUGGAUAACUCGAUUGGUGGAUGGAGACGACGUUCACGGCCCGACUACAGCCUUCCAAGCUGCGCCUUAGCAACCGAUACACCACCUCCAAUGGCUGCCGCGAUCUUGUGGAGCGCGUCACCCGGCCACUAGGGCACUCGUCCUGCAAGCAAUCGAAGAACAAGCAAGAACAAGUAGAACAAGCAACUCAAUUGCAAAUAUGGAGAUGAAAAACCAAUCUGAAAUCACAAAGUUGGGGUUCUGAAUCAAGUAGAACGGAUGGUCUAGUCGACACACGCGUCUACAAGGAAGUAGCAAUGGCUAAACUUUCAACAAAACAAAACCCAAUCUGUUCGUGGCGGCUCUAAUCCUUAUUAAUACCUAGGAGGACGACCAGGGGGGUGUUGGGGUCGUGCUCCAACCCUAGGACACGUCCCUAAUGGACCCAACUUGAUACACGGCCCAUCGGGCCAAAAUAGGGCGACGCAGCACCUGUGGACAGAAAACCUCUCGAUAGUAUUUCGAUGAUUGCGGUCGCCUCAGAACAGAUAUGGACAUGAGUCCGGAUCCAUAUGAAAAUAGACUUCAUAAGGAUUCCAAGGAGUACUUGAACGCCCAAAACGGAGUCUGGAUGAGGUCGUGGCGGUCGUUGCAAGUUGGGCCAGAACUGUAGUCCGAAUCCAGCACCAAAACGUGUUGGAUUGGAUCUCUUUCUUUCCUUGGGCCAAAAGUGACGUGGUGGCCUGGUGGAGGACGUUAGGAAUACUUGGACUUGGCCCCCAAUCUACUUCUUUGGUCCUCCAUGCCUUCCAUGUGUGUUUAACACUAUUUUUUAUCCAUGUAUGUAUUUCUGAAAUUGACAACGAACACACAUCAUGGUGCAACAUCGAUUCAUCAAAUGUAUCAAAUACAAUCAUGGUAAAGAAUUGUUUCACCUGUGAAUCAAAAGUUACUAAUGUGGUUGUAUCUGAACAGGUGAUGUCCUCAUCAUUUGUUGUUACAGGAAGCGCAUGGAGGCGGUCUCAUGGGGCACUUUGGCAUCUACAAGACGCAUGAAGUGCUGGCUGCCCACUUCUUUUGGCCCCGGAUGCGCGCUGAUGUUGAGCGCCUUGUUCCACGCUGCACUACUUGCCAGAAAGCUAAGUCCCGAUUGAACAACCAUGGUUUGUACAUGCCUUUGCCUGUUCCUACUUCCCCUUGGCUUGAUAUUUCUAUGGACUUUGUUUUGGGAUUGCCUAGAACUAAGAAGGGGAGGGACAGUAUUUUUGUGGUUGUUGAUCGUUCUCCAAAAUGGCUCAUUUUAUACCUUGUCAUAAGACUAAUGAUGCUAGCAAUGUUGCUGAAUUGUUCUUUCGCGAGAUUAUUCGUUUGCAUGGUAUUCCAAAUACAAUAGUCUCUGAUCGUGAUGCUAAGUUUCUCAGUCAUUUUUGGAGAUCACUGUGGAAUAAAAUGGGAACUAAAUUGCUGUUUAGCACCACUUGUCACCCUCAGACUGAUGGACAAACUGAGGUGGUUAAUCGAACCUUGUCCACUAUGCUUAGGGCUGUUUUAGAUAAACACUUGAAACGUUGGGAAGAUUGCUUGCCUCAUGUUGAGUUUGCUUAUAAUCAUGCAACGCAUUCUUCUACAAAGAUGUGUCCUUUUCAAGUUGUUUAUGGUUAUAUUCCUCGGGCGCCUAUUGAUUUGUUUGCACUUGAUGCCGAGGACGCCCCACACAUAGAUGCCGCUGCACAUGUUGAUCAAAUGAUUAGCUUGCAUGAGCAAACUCAACAAAACAUUGCUGCUGCUAAUGCUAAAUAUCAGGUUGCGGGUAGUAAAGGGAGAAAACAUGUUACUUUUGCACCGGGUGAUCUGGUUUGGUUGCAUUUGAGAAAGGAUCGUUUUCCUACCUUACGUCGUUCUAAAUUGAUGCCACGUGCUGCUGGUCCUUUUAAAGUGCUAACCAAGAUUAAUGAUAAUGCUUAUAUCCUUGACCUGCCUGCGGAGUUUGGUGUUUCCACGAGUUUUAAUGUUGCAGAUUUGAAACUGUAUGUGGGCGAAGAUGAGGAGUUGCCGUCGAGGAUGACUUCAGUUCAAGAAGGGGAGGAUGAUGAGGACACCACAAGUACAUCUACACCAGCAGCACCUCAGGCGCCUCCAGUUGCUCCUCCACCUCAGGUGCCUACAGUUGAUCAUCCAGUUGGGCCAAUCACUCGGGCCCGUGCGAGAGAAUUAAACUUCAUCAUGGUGUUAAGGAACGAAGGCCCAUCGGAAUAAGAAGAUGGCCCAACAAGGCAGCCCAGGUGGGGUGCCUAGGGUUGGGCGCGCGUGACCCCUUCGGACUCCAGGGGCUGCGCCCCCUUUAUUUAGUCCGAGUCUUUUUUGUUUACGACUUGAGUUUUGUUUUACAUCUAGCUUUAGCUACUCUUGAACACGCGCAAAUACGCGCUGUCCUUGUGUGAUUCAGAACUCCACCUUCGAGUGAUAUUUAGAUUGCUCGCCUCUUUUUCUUGUUCGUUCUUCGAUUGCGGACAGGAAUCGAUCUUCGUGAUCAGGCUGAUCUCGCACAGGCGAGGUUGGUAACCAUCGGGAGUUGGUUCAGCGAUUGCAUUGGCGCUUCGGGUUCGCUUGUCGUAGUCGGAUCGUGAGGGUCUACUUCCACCAAGUCGAAUUUAUCUCCACUCACCAAAAGAUCGGGCACUCCGACUCUAUCACCCUCUAAUCCGCCCAACCCCAGUUCCGUCUCACCCGACCCUAUCUGUUCCGCCGACCCUUAUCCGCCUCGCCCAAGGGCUCGGCUGUGAUCUUUUUCUUCAACCUGAGGGUGUAUGUGUAAAACUUGGGAACCCUUCAGCGGUUGAGUCUGAGGAUCCCUAGCAUACCAAAUCCUCUAGUUUAAGGAUCAGAUCAUAAGUUCCUUUCUCGGACCCUUACCUCUUGAUCUCCACCGGCUCCCUUGAACCUCCCCACCCUCCUGCUCUUUGUCGCGAGUUUCUGGGCUCAGACUUGCAAGUGUUGCUGUUGAAAUAACCGUCUAUACUAACUAAUGCAUUGCAUUCGUGUAGAGCUGCGCCUCGCCGACGGCUUCUAAGAGCUGCACCCGGCGCCAGAAGACGACGGUGUAGCUGAGCUCCUGCCCUCUGAAGCCGAAGCCGCCCCCGAAGUCGAGCAGUUCUCUUCCUCCUUGCUCGAAGGCAAGCCCCGGUUGCAUGAAACCCCGAUGUUCUCCAAACUUGCGCAUGCCUUCCUUAAAACAUGCUUGUGCAUUUACGUAUAGGAGUUAUUUGAAACCCUAGAUGCAUGACUUAGUUUCCCAUGAUUUGAACACUAGCUGUUGGACCGAGUAGCUGUUUGCUUAACUAGGAGACGGUAAAAGCUGAGUGAUUCCCUGUCACUCGCGAGUUGUAGGAGUUGGAUGUCUACCCUUCUGUUAUAACUGUAAGGACGAUGGACGGGGUAGGGUUUUGGGUAACUCUUUGGUGGUCGGAUGAUCACCCCGUCUGUCUAUGAAAACUUGCUAAGGCCCGACAGUGGUGGUGUUCGUGAUCAAGUGUUUGAAAGUACUAACCUCAUACUUAGUAUGGGAUGAGGAAGCCUAGUACCGGAUUGAACCUAGACGUGAGCGGUCGCCCCAUUGUUCUUGGAACGGAGUUUCCCCUGCUGGUUGUUGCAUGUGGUGGCAAGCGUGGUCGCAGAACGGCAGAGGCCGGGUCUGUGGAACCUUGCGCCAAAGGAAAUGGGCCCAACAUAGGUUAGGGAAUUGAUGGGGAAGGCCGACACAGGAAGCGACCUCCGGGUGCGCGGAUGUCGUGAGGUUAGGUUCACCAUGCAUGGUUAAAGAACUCGAAUUGAUUCGUCUGCCUCUCACAGUUUGAGACUGCUUGAUCGCUAUGUCACCCUAAGUAAAUGAGGAAUCUGAUAAUGACAUGGUUUUGUUGAUUUAUACAUACCUUGUUUUGGUUCUAUGAUUGCUUAGAAUAGGUUGCAAAACCUAGACCGGUUAAUGAACUUAGAACCGGAGCUAAAACUUGAAAAUAGGGUUUUACUUAGUGCUUUUGGCAAACAAACCCCUCAGCCAAAAAGCCCUGCAUGUCUAGAAGUGUGGAGUAGUUUUACUCCUGUCGGUUAAGUCUUGUUGAGCUUAGUAGCUCAGCCUUGUUGUGGCUCCUGUUUUUAGGUGAAGUUGCUGCUCCCGACCCUUCUCCUGCUGGCACUUGGCCGCCCCAGCUCCCUUCGGGUUGGACGGUCGAGUGGGAUCCCUCCUCGGACGGUGAGGAGACGGAUUAGUGAUGUCCCGGCUGGCCUCACCAGGGACGUUCGACCCCGACGUUGCUUCCGCUAGUGGUUUUACCUUCUGUUGUCUUUCUGAAAACCCUAUAAAACUCUGAUGUUUAUUUCAUAACCAAGCUAAGUGGUUAAGUUGUUAACUUGGUGGACUUGUUGUACUCUCUGGAACCGCUCACCUUCGUGUGAGUCUGCUAAAAUGGUCCUGUUCAAGUGGUUAAAUCGGAGGAAAUCCGACGGCACUUCGUGUUUACUCGGCUUAGGCAUGAGCGUCGCGUAUCAGGCAGCUAAAUCAUGUUUAACCAAGUAGAUCCGAAGUGGAUCCGCCACACCGAGCUACAGAUGCAGUUCAAAACAAAUCAUGAGGCACACGAUAUAAUCGUGGCGCUCAAGGACAUGUUCUAGACACAGGCUAGGACUAAAAGGUUCAAUGUGUCCAAAGCCUUUCUGGAGUGCAAGCUAGCAAAAGGCGUAGUAGUAGGACCACAUGUAAUCAAGAUGGUUGGUUACACUCAACAAUUGGAGAAGCUGGGCUUCCCAAUGGGCAAAGAGUUGGCCACUGACUUCAUUCUUUCAUCUCUUCCGCCUAGCUAUGGGAACUUCAUCUCGAACUACCAUAUGCAUGGGACGGAGAAGGGUUUGAAUGAACUGUGUGGUAUGCUCAAGACAGUAGAGGUAGACAUUAAGAAAAGCGCUAGUACAGCCAUGUGAUGGCUAUACAGAACAAGCCUACCUUCAAGAAGAAGGGCAAUUCUUGGAAGAAGAAGGGUAAGGCUGGAGUGUCCAAGCCAAACCCAGCGCCCAAGGCUAAAGCUGGACCUGCUCUAGAUAAAGAGUGCUUUUAUUGUCACAAACUUGGUCACUGGAAGAGAAACUGCAAGCAAUACCUAGCUUUGUUGAAGAAUGGCGGAAGUAAGAGUACUUCUACCUCAGGUACACUUGUUGUUAAUGUUAUAGACAACAUUUUUCUCGCUGAUACAAUUAUUAAUUCUUGGGUAUUUGAUACCGGAUCGGUUGCUCAUAUUUGCAAUUCGAUGCAGGGAAUGAUAAGAAUUAGAAGCGUGGAAAGAGGAGAAGUUGAUUUCCGCGUGAGCAAUAAUGCAAGAGUUGCUGCGUUGACCGUCGGGAUGAUGCAACUCCACCUCCCGUCAGGAUUUAUUAUGGAGUUGAAUAAUUGUUAUUUCGUUCCUAGUUUAAGUCGAAACAUUUUGUCUCCUUCAUGCUUGAUGAAGGAUGGUUAUUCAUUUGCGAGUGAAAACAAUGGUUGUGUGAUCUCUAAGAAUGAUAUGUUUAUGGCUUUUGCACCCAUUGUGAAUGGAUUAUUUGUUUUAAAUCUUGAUGGUUCACCUGUCUGUAACGUAAGUGCUAAAAGGCCUCGGCCUAAUGAUUUGAGUCCUACCUACUUGUGGCAUUGUCGUUUGGGUCAUAUAAGUGAAAAGCGCAUGAAGAAGCUCCAUUCUGAUGGACUUCUUACUUCGUUUGAUUUUGAAUCAUACGAGACAUGUGAGGCUUUCUUGCUAGGCAAGAUGACCAAGACGCCUUUCAUAGUAUUUCCUGAGAGAGUAGUAGACUUGUUGGAACUCGUACAUAGUGAUGUAUGCGGACCAAUGAGCACGACGGCUAGAGGAGGAUUCCAAUACUUCAUAACUUUCACUGAUGAUUUUAGUAGAUAUGGCUAUGUCUACUUGAUGAGGCACAAGUCUGAAACCUUUGAAAAGUUCAAGGAAUUUCAGAAUGAAGUUGAAAAUCAGCGUGGCAAGAAAAUUAAGGCCUUACGAUCUGAUCGUGGAGGCGAGUAUUUGAGCCACGAGUUUAGCAAUCAUCUAAAGAGUUGCGGAAUUGUUCCACAACUUACGCCGCUUGGAACACCUCAGAGAAACGGUGUAUCCGAGUGACAUAAUCAAACCUUGUUAGACAUGGUUCGAUCAAUGAUGAGCCAGUCAGACCUACCGUUGUCAUUUUGGGGAUACGCUCUAGAAACAACAGCUUUCACACUUCAUAGGGUACCAUCUAAAUCUGUAGUUAAGACACCAUAUGAGAUGUGGACUGGAAAGGUUCCUAGUUUGUCUUUUCUAAAGAUUUGGGGAUGUGAAGUGUUUGUCAAGCGACUUCAGUCAGAGGGCAAAGUGUCUGUCGCUCGGAACGGGGUUUUCCUAGAGAAAGAGUUUCUCAAAGGAGAAAAGAGUGGAAAGACAGUGCAUCUUGAAGAAGUUCAAGAUGAGCCGAUCGGGCAAGAAUCAAUGAGUGAUGCUAACGUAGCAGAACAAGUUGAGAUACUCAUGGCAAGAGAAGCACCGCCACAACCACGAAGGUCGGCAAGGCUCCGCGAAAUGCGGGAAAUAUUAUUGUUGGAAAAUGAUGAGCCUGCGACAUAUGCAGAAGUUAUGAUGGACCUAGACUCCAAAAAAUGGCAGAGUGUCAUGCAAUCCGAAAUAGAGUCCAUGGGAGACAAUCAAGUUUGGAACUUGGUUGACCCAUCUGAUGGUGUUAAAGCCAUAGAGUGCAAGUGGAUCUAUAAGAAGAAAAAGGACAUGGAUGGAAAUGUUCACAUCUAUAAAGCACGACUUGUCGCAAAAGGUUUUCGACAAGUUCAAGGAGUUGACUACGACGAGACUUUCUCGCCCGUAGUGAUGCUUAAGUCCAUUCGGAUUAUUCUAGCUAUAGUUGCAUAUUUCGAUUAUGAGAUAUGGUAGAUGGAUGUCAAAACAGCUUUCUUGAAUGGAAACCUAGCUGAGGACGUGUAUAUGAUACAGCCUGAGGGUUUUGUCGAUCCAAAAAAUGCUGGAAAGGUAUGCAAGCUUCAAAGAUCCAUUUAUGGAUUGAAGCAAGCAUCUAGGAGUUGGAACAUUCGUUUUGAUGAAGUGGUCAAAGAGUUUGACUUCACCAAAAACGAAGAAGAGUCUUGUGUUUACAAGAAGGUUAGUAGGAGCUCUGUAGUAUUUCUAAUCUUAUAUGUGGAUGACAUAUUACUGAUUGGAAAUAACAUUCCUAUGCUUGAGUCCGUAAAGACUUCACUGAAAAAUAGUUUUUCGAUGAAGGACUUAGGGGAAGCGGCAUAUAUUCUGGGCAUUAAGAUCUAUAGAGAUAGAUCGAGAAGGCUUAUAGGUUUAAGCCAAGAUACUUACAUUGACAAAGUGUUGAAGUGGUUCAACAUGGAAGAGGCAAAGAAAGGGUUCUUGCCUAUGUCACAUGGCAUACAUCUCAGCAAGACUCAGUGUCCUUCGACUGCUGAUGAGCGGGAUCGCAUGAGUAGAGUGCCAUAUGCCUCAGCUAUUGGAUCUAUCAUGUAUGCAAUGAUAAGUACUCGCCCAGAUGUUUCAUAUGCGCUAAGUAUGACAAGCAGACACCAAUCUGAUCCAGGUGAGAGUCACUGGAUAGCGGUGAAAAACAUUCUUAAGUACUUGAGAAGGACUAAAGAUAUGUUUCUCGUCUAUGGAGGUGAGGAGGAGCUCUUUGUAACAGGUUACACCAAUGCUAGUUUCCAAACCGACAGAGAUGAUUCAAAGUCACAAUCAGGAUUUGUGUUCACGCUAAAUGGUGGUGCUGUUAGUUGGAAGAGUUCCAAGCAGGAGACGGUGGCCGAUUCUACGAUAGAAGCCGAGUACAUCGCGGCUUCGGAAGCCGCGAAGGAGGGUGUUUGGAUAAGGAAGCCGAGUACAUCUCCAUGUCCAUGACUUGUGAAUCAUAGUCAUCAACUAAUACAUGUGCUAGUCUAAUAUUCAUGUGUGUCCUCACAUGAACUCCGACUAGGGACAACUUUCGAAUAACCAUACAAGUAAAGAGUUUCACAUACAAUUCACAUAAUUGCAAAUCAAUUCAAGUAGCCUUUAAUGGAUAUUCAAGGAACACAAUAUAAAUCAUGGAUACAAAUGGAAUAUCAUCAUCUCUAUGAUUUCCUCUAGGGCAUACCUCCAACAGCAUUACCAUCCAUGAAACUGAUGACUUUAUGUCCUGCGGCGGCAUCUAUCAACACAUCGGCUGUCGGCAUUGGAUAGCCAUCCUUCGGCGUAGCCUGAUUAAGAUUCCUGAAGUCAAUGCAUACGCGCAGCUUUCCAUUUUUCUUGUAUACGGGUACAAUAUUAGAGAUCCACUCGGUGUAAUGGCACUGUCGAAUAAAUUUCGCUUCAAUUAGUAUUGUAAUCUCGGCCUUUAUGUCACGCAGAAUUUUAGGGUUGCAUCGUCAUGCGGGCUACUGAUACGGCUGAUAUCCUGGUUUUAUAGGCAACUGGUGUUGGACAAUGGACCGGAUAGACCAGGCAUUUCGUGGUAUUCCCAAGCAAAACAGUCUUUAAAUUCUCUUAAUAAACUUGUCAAUUUACAUUUGUACUCGGGAUCCAAGCUAGCACUAAUAUACAUCAGCCUGGCUUGCAACAAUCCCCUAGAUCCACCAUCUCCAAUGAAUCGACCGAUGUAAACCCAUGCCCAAGCUUCCCAUCUUCUUGGACAAACUGGUCCAUUUAUCUGAAUCUUCAGAGCCGACUGCUCAGAUCAGCUGUAGGCCAAAAUCAGGCACUGUCAGGAAGUCGGUGUCCCAGGUUCUACCGGAUAUGCAAUUGACGUGUUCGCAGCUCCACUGUUGCGCAUUGGCCACAGCAACACUGUAGGCGGAAUCGGCGGUGACUAUCUCGAUGUUGUCGCUGACACAUUGUACGAGGCAUUGGUGCAUUGUAGACGGGACGCAGUAAUUCGCGUGUAUCCAAUCAUGACCGAGCAACAUAUUGUAGGACCCUUUGCCAUUAAUAAUAAAGAAAGUAGUGGGGAGGAUCUUACUGCCGAUGGUGAGGUCGACACAGAGUGCCCCACAGGCGGGAGACACGUUUCCUUCGAAGUCCUUGAGUGUCAUGUCCGUCUUGGUCAUAUCUUCAUCGCUCUUGCCCAAUUUCCGGAACAUGGCAUACAGCAUGUGUUGACUGCAGCACCUCCAUCUACUAGUAGCCUGGUAAUGGGUCGUCCAUUGACGUGUCCCUUGAGGAACAGAGCCUUGAGAUGUUGUCAUUUUUCAUCUUCUGGUUUCUCGAAAGUGGCUGUCAUUGGCUCCAAAGCCAAUUGCACCAUCUGCUCCUCCAUCUUUGUCGUGUUGUCCCGAUCGGCGGGAGCCAUGAACUCCAUCGGCAAGAUGAAAACCAUGGUGACGUCAGCUGCUGAUUCCUGAUUGUUGCCUUCUUCAUUGUUGUUUCUUUUGGGGUGCCAGACUCGAGACCUGUCAUCUUUCUUGUCCACCAUCUGUCUCUGCUCUUCUUAUUGCUGUUCCCAUUGGCGCAGAUGUUGGAUCCUUCAUUUUUGAGAUUUGGUCAAUUCAUCAGGGCACCACCUGGGGUUCAACGGUUUGGCCGGUGGUCUGGCGCGCUCCCAGUCCGGUUCCCGCCCUAGGGGGUUUUCAUCUGACACCCUGGCAUCGGCCAUCUCCUCUAGCCGAUUGUGUGCGCUGGCUCUGCACCCCGGUCGCUUGUGUUGGUCAACCCUGUUCCCCGGCCGAUCAUACUAUUCCGGUCUACCCCUUGGCCGGUCAUACCAGUCAACUCUGCCCCCCAGCCGAUCAUGCUCUGAAAAGCGCCGAUCCUCUUGUUCAUGCCAGUUUCUGCUGAUCGGUUCUGAUCCUCUGUCUCUGGAGUGCGACCUCUUGAACGGGUGAUUGUCGCGAUAUGGGCCACUGCACUCGGGGCAAUUAUCGGCCGAUGGUAAUCUGAGGUUUUUUUUCCCAGCAGUGGAUGAAGAACGGGCACCGCUAGUGACCUUUGUGUCGGCGUAUCAUUUCUUCUGGGUGUCUCAAACUUUCCUGCUGCCGCUGGUACUUGUUGAGUAAGAAUUGGGAGGUAAUGGGUCUACGCUGUCUCCCCGAUCCUUCACCCUCGUCUUCGACCCAUCUCUUGCCUUUGACAUCUUCGAAUGCAGUUUGAUUUCUUGGAUCCACGGCACCGCUUCUCUUAGCCGAUUCCGACGUCCGCACCUUGGUUUGAAGUGCGUUUCUCCCCGUAUCAACCAUGUUAGUGGGGAAAGGGUGCUGAUGAAUCUUCAUUGGCUUUGUUGGCUUUGUUGGGACCUCGAACUUGAGUCUGCCUUGCUCGAUGGCCGAUUGUAUCUGCUGAUGGAAGAUCUUGCACUUGUUUGUGUCAUGAGAUGUGGCAUUUUGCCAUUUGCAAUACUUCAUCUUUUUGAGCUGCUUGGCCAAUGGGAUCGUAUGAUAAGCCAAGAGUUUGAUCUGCCCCUCCUGGAGAAGUAAGUCAAAAAUUCUGUCGGCCUUUGACAUGUCAAAACCGAACGCCUCUGGCUCCUUUUUCCCGAAAGGACAUGAUAUCGGCUUCUUCCCUUUGACCCAUUCUGCUAGGCAGAUUUCUGCUUCCUCCUCAGAUUCAGAUCCCUCCAAGUAUGCCACCAUUUUCUGAAAAUUUCUCCGCUGAUCAAAAGGGUGUACUUCUUGACCAUCCAAUCAAUGAAUGAUCUGACUUAAGCUCUCGAACUCUUGGGAUGCGUACUUUUCCUUAAUGUGUGGCAGGAGACCUUGGAAUGCGAUAUCGGCCAACUGCGCAUCGGUCAGGACUAGGGUUUAGCAUUUGUUUCUGACCUCUCUGAACCUCUGCACAUAAUUGGUCACCAGCUCGUCCCUCCUUUGCCUGAGGCUGGUCAAAUCUUAUAGAUUCAUCUUGUGGACUCCCGCGUAGAAGUAUUUGUGGAACUGAUUCUCCAGGUCAACCCAAGUAACGAUGGAAUUGGGCGGUAGCGUAGUGAACCACUAGAAAGCCGAUCUGGAUAGUGACGACGAGAACAGACGCACCCAUAGAGCAUCUUGUGUGGCGGCCUCCCCGCACUAGAUGAUAAAUCUGUUUACGUGCUCCACAAUUGAGGUGUCGUCUAGUCCCGAAAACUUAGUGAAGUCAGGAACUUUGUACCGAUAGGGAAACGGCAGUAGAUCGUAGGCAAAUGGGUGUGGCGUUCUGUACGUGUAGGUUUGUACCUUCAGCUUCAACCCGAAUUGAUCUUGAAUUACCUCCGCUAUCCUUCCUGCCCAAUCCCUUGCUGCUGAUGAACAACUGGUUGAGGGAUCGGCACAUGUUGGUGGAUCGGCGGUGGGAUAACCGGGUGAUGGAUCAAAGCUUGCGGCGGAUUUUGUGGCAACGUGGCCGGCUGUGCGGUUGACAGUUAGUGGCGUAGCGAAUCGGCCAUCCCAUCGUACAGCAUCAUAGGCGUCGUACUUCUAAGUGUUUCUGUAGCAUCUGCCCCCCGGCCGAUUUCUAACGUGUCCAGUUGAUAUUGUGGGACAGUCAGACGAAUGGCCGAUUGGAAUGGUGCCUGGAUCGGAGAGCUUCCUAACCGACCGAUUGAUCCAGAGCAGCCACCGUUGCUAGUGCCCCUCAAGGCACUGAGUUCGAGGGCAAUGAUUGCACAGAGGAAAUCUGGGCAGGCUAAGGCGGUGCCUGUGUUUGAAAACAUGGCGCACCGUUGUAUCCUGGAGGCAUCGAAGGCAGUGAAGUGUUGUGUCCUCCAUGUUGUGUCGGUAUCGGCUGAGGAGCCGAGUGAGAUGGGCCUGAUAAGCUCCUGCCUGAGGUUACAAUGGGCAGGGCGUACGCUGGCCCCUGGUAUCCUUGAGUUACCCCGUUGGCUAGGGAACUGAUGACAGCAUUGUACACAGUGUUGGUCAUCACCGGGGAUUGGUCAAUGAAAGCCUGAUAGACGGACUGUUGGAUCAUAUCGGACAUCUUGGCCGAAUCCUCAGUGAUGGUGAUCUGGUGGGGAGUUGGAAAAGGACCUUUCUUGAUGGUCUCCCCGCUUCUGGUAUGACUAAAAGAUUGCAAGCAUGUCUUCCUGUAUUGUUCCAUGUGCUUUGCAACCUCUUCUUUCUUGUCAUCCUUGAGAUCUGUUUCCGUCACCUCGAUGUCAUUGUUUUCGGAGAUCUCGGCAGCCUUUGACAUGUUGGAUGUUGAAGUUGUCCCACCGGGCGUGCUAAAAGUGUGUUGGCGCUAAAAGUCAACCGAUUUGACCUUCAGCGUCGAACACACGACCCGGGAGAAUUUGCUUAGCUCCUGUUCGGUUAAUCGCCCUGGUGCGGUUCGCACGGCGUGCUAGUCAAUCUGACCUGUUGAUUGACAAGGCGAGAAACGUGUCAAAUUCCAGAGGUUUCGAUCGGCUAAAAUUCCAAUCUAUCUUGAAAAGCGUAUCAGCGAAUCAGCCGAUUUUCUAUGAAGACGACCGGCUAUAGAACAGCCGAUAAUCACACGGCGAUUGUAAAGAAACUACUAGAGCAGACUAAACAAUGCUACGAAGCAACACUUGAAAUAGAUCUAAUCGGAUGUAUAAUGAUAAACAAAAAAUAAUGACAAUAAAGCCGAUAGUUCAAAUCUCAAGCUUGGAUAACUGGUGAUAAAAUUAGAACAGUAGAUAAAACCUAUAAUUCUAGUAAAUAUCCAUAUCUGGUGAAUAAAUCUAAACGAAAUGACAGCGAUGCGCCCGAAGUUAAAGCUUAGAUAUUACUCAAUAAACGGAACAUACAGAAUCGGUCGGAGAUCAUGUCGAUGCAGCCCUGCCAACCCGUACAAACUCGUGAAGUAAAAGAAGUAUUGGCGAAGUCGCCGACUUGAAAGUAAAGUACAAGGAAAAAGUAGAUUAUUGUAUUGAUUGAUGUGUAUUUACAAAUCUCUAAAGAUGGCUAUUUAUAGCCUGUUACAACUAAUUUCCUAACCGACUAGGAUCUAUCUCUAAUUUUAAACGAAAACGAAUAUUUACGAACACAACUCGUAUCGGAGUUGGUUAUUGUACUCCCACGGGCAAAUCUUUCUCUAUCUUCUUUCUCUGACCCACUUUAGGCCCAUACUGGCCCAAUUGCUCCAGCCUUCCAACCGGCCGAUCUCCACCAACUCCGUCUGCCAAAACACUAUAGCGCUAAUCGGCCGAUUCCUAACUGUAGCACCAAUCGGCCGAUUCCCAAUCGUAACCUUUUAAUCCACCGUAUCGGCCAAUCCUUUUCUCCCUUGACGCCGAUCCCAUACAUGUCAAAAUCUGGCAUCAACAGACAUGCAUUUAUAUUAGUUCCACCUCAGCUAAAAGCUUAAAACCACUCCAUGUCAUACUGAAGCUAUGGUUAAGGGUCAGGAGGUUAAUUGGUCCAGUUUUGAUAGUUUCAGAUUGAAAUAGAACUAUUGUCUAAUUGAAGUGUGUAAAAUUAGAUAUUUGUUGGUAGUUUUGUACUAACAGCUAUGACGUUCCAUAUAGAUAGUUUUUUUUCAAAUAGAUAGGCGAUGCAUUGCUGCUAUUAAGAGAGAUGGAUGCAUGGUAAUUUGUUGCCUGCUAGUUGUAUGUCAUAAAGGUACGUUGUGUUAAAGCCGUAAAGCUCAGGUCUUUCUUCUUUUUCUUCUUUGUUCUAGGGUCAAUUGGAAAUAUGAUGCUGCAAUUUAGGCUAUUUCUUAGUGGUAGUUUCGUAGGAGUUUCAUGCACAUUAAAUGUAGUACCACAUCAGCUAAUCUAGUGACAUGGCAGAAAAUUUAAGAGGGCAGAGAAUGAACCAGUUUCUUCUAGAUGAAACUCUUUUCGCAUGAAAAUCAACUCUAGAUGUGUCAUGAAAUUAAAUAUUAUAUGGUGCCUAUGAAACAACAAUAUGAAAUUGUGCAUCGGAAAGAUAGUUUCAAACAUAUUUUCAUCUUCUUGUUGAUGAUGUGGCUAUCUUAGAAAUAUCAAAAUAAAAUCCUCCAGUAGAAUUAGCCUUCACUACUGGACGGUCGACCUUUAGUACCGGUCAGGAACCCCCCUUUAGUAACGGGCGCUUGCCCGGUACCGCUAGUCUAAAUGCUACGCCAUUUAGUACUGGUCAACUCAACUGAUACUAAAUGCAACAUUUAGUGCAUGUCGGUGAAACCAACCGGUACUAAACUGUGAGCCACGUCGUGCUGUUGCGCGUGGCACUUUAGUACCAGUUGGUUUUACUAACCGGUACUAAAUGUUAUUCCUUUUCUUUUUCUUUUUGCCCUUUCGUUUUCCUUUUGUUUUAUAAUUUGCAUUCGUAUCUGGUGGAGCAUUAACUACAAAUAUUACGUUAAUAUAUGAACCCAUUCAAAUCCAAGUCUUACAAGUAUCAACACAUUCAAAUCCAAGUCACUCAGAGAAGAUUAUACAUGCAAUGAAAUUAUACAUCAAUACUUAAGUUCUUAGAGAGAACAAGUUUACAUCCAUAAGAAAAGGGUAGGGGUACAUCCAUGCAAGUUACAUAUUUCAUAGUACUACUCGCUUCGCUUCCUUAGAUAUGGAACAUAAUUAAGAUCUCCAAUCGUCCAGCCUAGAACUUCAUCAAAAAAAAGUUAGAGCAUUGAUGAGUGCACUCUUCUUCGCUUCACAUAGACGGUCACAUACACUACUAUAAAUCUCAAACAAUGGAGAGGUUAACUGAUUUGGCCUGUAGAAAGUGAGAUGAGCCUGGAGCUUCAAAUCUCUGGUGAAUAUGGGUUUUCCACCCAUGUAAGUUAAAUCCAACACAUCCAAGACUUAAGCCAGAAUUGCACAAAAAAUCAUUGCCGCAUUGGUAGUACCAAAGAGAUCCUAAAAGAUAAUAAUAACGUUACGAAAGUUAAAAGAUGUAACAUAACUAAAAGAUGCUAUUUGACCCCAUGCGGCAAUCGAAACCAUCGGGAUGGCCUCUCCUGGUGACAUCGAGGUGAAAUCUGUUUCUCGAACAGGUACUUGAAAGGAGAUGUGUACUCUUUUAAAAUAAGGUUCACCAACAACCUUGGUUUGCACUACAGGAGAAGUACCACCUAAAUCUUCGAUAACAUCUUUGAGCCAUCUAAUUGUGUUGAUAAGCUACAUUGUAUGUAAGUAAAUUUAGAAAUUAUUCAUUUGUAGUAAAAAAUCAAUUACAAGAAAGAAAGAAUAUUACUAUGCUGGGAACUGAUCCUUACCUUCCAUCACCUUGUGGCAUGUCAAUGAUGUCAUGAGGGAACUGAAUUUCUAAACGACGAGACAAUGGCUCCUUGAACAUGUAGUCCCAACAGCUACCAGCACCAUGGCCGCCACCACCACGACCCCCACCCCCACGGCGAAAAGAACUUCUACUAACCAUAGUUAGCCCAAACUAUCCAAAUAAAAUUGAAAUAAGAUGCUUCAUUCCACAAACAUCAACUUUAAUAGUAAUUACGCUGUAAAACAUCAUAAUUCACGAAAUGCUAAGAAUAAAAGAUUGUCCAAAAUAGUUAAUAGUAAUCAAACAUCAACUUCAAUAGUAAUUACACCGUAAAACAUCAAUAGAAAUUUACAAUUGUUGGUUUAGAUCUCAUGACAUUAUGAUAACUAAUCAAAACACAUUUAUUAUCAUAUUGCAAUUCCAUGGAAUAAAAAUAGAAAAAAGAAAAAAACAACCAGGGUGCUUGGGGAGGAGGCGACCUCGGCAACGGGUAGGAGGAGGCGUGUCGGGAGGAGGCAGCACGUCGAGGUGUGCGUCAGGAGGAGUCAGCGCGUCGAGGGCGGGGUGCCAUAGGGAUGGAGGGAGGAGACAGCGCGUCGGGGAUGGGGCGCCGCGGGGACGGAGGGAGGAGGCGGCGUGUCGGGAGGAGGCGGCAUCGACAGCACGUUGGGAGGAGGCAGCGCAUCGGGGAGGAGAAACUACGGAGGGAGGAAACUGCUAAGUGUUUGGAGAAGAUGAAAUAUUUGUAGGUGGGCAAUUUAGUACCGGUUAUAGACUUUCCCCAGUACUAAAUUGCUCUAUUUAGUACGGGGCAGGGCUUCUAACCGGUACUAAAGUUACCAAAAUAACGGGAGCUAAAACUGCCCAGCCAGCAAUUUCCUUUCCCGCGCACACUGUCUUAAUUCUAAUAAAAUCUUUCAAUUGACAAGGUUGUCACGUAUACAUAUAUAUAUACAUAUAUAUAUAUAUACAUAUAUAUAUAUAUAUACAUAUAUAUAUAUAUACACACACACAUAUAUAUAUAGCAGAUAAAUCCCACCAAACUGCAUGCAUGCAUGUAUGAAAUCUUUUGCUUUGAAACAAAUUUUCUCCUAAACCAUAACCCUGAUUGACAAACCUUUUUUGUUGCAUCUGACACAAAAAAUAUUCUUAACAAAACUAGAUCCAAUAUGGAUAUAUUUUUUUUACUGUUUAAGCCAGUUGCAAAUCUAUGUACUACCGAUUGCUACUCAGUCUACUACAUAGCUACAACUAGUUAUAACUCUAUGCAUUAUUUGCAUCUUGAUGAGGACAUCGCCAUGCUGGACACGCACGAGUCAUGGUCUUCCCCAAGUUACAAUUCAUCACCAACUCGGUCGUCACGUUCGUUUCGGAUUCAACCAACACUCCUGCACGGUUUUGGCCAUAUCUCCCUCAUACGACAUCGAAAUGAGGCGUUCUUUGAUGCAUUAGAACAGGGACGAAGCCACCGUUCUUUUGGUUUUGGUACAUGCUCUAGAAGGAUCGUGGAUCAUUCUAUGUGACCACAACAAUGUGCUACAUCACCAGUUUUGGGCCAACUUGGCCUUGUAUCGUGUCGGGCCUUAAGCCCAAGUUGUGGGCGCCCCCUUCCUGGUCGCCCCCAACCCUAGUUCACCCUUUUGAUAUAAACUCAGUAGCCGCCACCUUAGAAAUUGGGGUUUUGUUUAGUUCUAGUUUUCCUCCGAGAAACUGAGAUUCAUUCGUUGUAACUAUGGCAACAAGUCAUUUUACAGUGAUGCAGGGCCCCUGUUCUUGUUCUCCUCAACUGUGUCGAAUAGUCCUUUCGAAUUGAGAGUUUAACCCUUCUUUACUUCAUUCAUAUUUGCAAUAUCAGAUUGCGUGUUUACACUUUCUUGCUUGUGUCGUUCAAUUCACUUGCAGGGAAAGCCUUCUCGGCGAGGUCAAUGAAGUUGUGCUUGGUUGAUAACCAACGGAGCAGCAGUGUAGCGGUUGCAGGGAUUCGAAUCGUGUCUAAUUAGAAGCUCGAAUCGUCAAUGUCGUGUCUCCACCAAUUACCUUUCGGAAGAUCGGACCGGUGUUACAUCACAUCACAUCAAGUUGCAAUUCUGAGUUGCAAUCAUACCUUGUUACAACCAGAGUACCAACCAUGUUUCAACCGAGUAGUAACUAGUUACAAUCAGUUUUAACUAGUUGCAAUUGGGUAGUAACUGGUUGCAAUUAUAUUCAGUAGGAAGCAUAUCUGGGUGCAAUUAGAGUAGCAACUGAGUAUUAAAUAAUUGCAACCAUGAGUAACAAGUGCUAAAUAGGUUACAAUCAAGUUGCAAUUUUUGUGUGAUAUAUAUAUAUACUUAAAAAAAACUUUAUCAAACAUAUCCUUCAUGGAUUGCAAUUACAUGAUUUUAGGUCAAAUUUCUUGCAAAAAUAGAUUAUCCUCCAAAAUAUAAUGCACAUGCAAAAAUAAGGUUAUUUUAGGUGCCAAGUGGUGGAUUAGUAUAAGAAUAUGUAUGAAAACACCACUUAAAUGGCACUAAAAGUGUGUCAAUAAUGAGCAGCAAUAAUCUUCCCAUGCUUAAACCUUGCUCAUCCUCGAGCAAGUCUAGGAUACUUGCUUAAUCAAGAAAUUAGCAUUGCCCUUCGAUGUCAUCCUUGUACUCAGUUAUACAUAACAAGACGCAUUGCUCUCUUAAGUAUUUAGCAUUUAAAGUUCAAGUUGUGAUUCAUCAUGGAAGAUAGACUAGCAAUAAAGAACAUGCUAUAAUAAAAAUAAAUACAAUGCUCUUGAACUUAAGUGAACUUCAGACCUUUACUUUGUUCCAUCAUGAAGAGUUUUUCAAAAAGAUGCAAAUCCAACAUAAGUGAAAUUAUCUUGCAAAAGUUCAUGGAAACACUCAUCUCAUCAAGUCACUCAAGCCUAUAAUAGAUUAUUUUCAACCUAUUCUACUUAUAUAUAAAAGUGGAAGGCUUAUGGGGAGCUUGGCGGGUAAAAACAAUCUUAGCAAAACACUAUAUUUGAAAUAUUGUUAAACAAAGAGAGAGAUCUAUUAGGAUUACUGAGACUUGUCAAAAAGGCCAUGGAAAAUAAAUGUUGGAGAGAGAAAGGGAUGAAACACAUACAUUUAGAUAAGUGGACAUGUGCAAGUGGCAAAUGAAUGAUCCCAAGGCACAAAUGAAGUCCUCAUUACUGGAUUGCACAUGGAUCAAUCCUUAAUCUUGAGAGCACUGGGAACUUUUAAUGAGGCUCAAAGAACUGAGGAGCAUUUUAUUCUUUUUCUCCUUUAUGUUUUUUCUUUUUCAUUAAUUUUUCUCUUCUUUGUUCUUUCUUUGUUUUUCCUCAUUUUUCUUUCUUUUUCCUCAUUUUUUUCAUUUUGCUCCUCAAAACUUCUUGCAACACAGUACUUUACUUAGCAGUAGUCAGAGAUAAUGCGAUGAAUCCUCCCCCAUGCUUAGAUGAUACUCAUCCCCGAGCAUGAAAAGGAAGAAAGAUAAACUGUUGAUGCAAAUACAAAAUUUUUUGAUCUUCUGCAGAAAAAUUAUUUUAUUCCUCUGGAGGGACUUUCGCGCCAAAUUUCAUAGGGAAAAGAAGGUGAAACACCUCACGCCGAUCGGCCUGGCCCCUUCUAGCCUCUAUUUUCUUCGCUUUUUAUUCUCCGUACUGGUGAAUGCCUCCAGGUCAUGAUUUUUCUUGAAAGUAACUGAUUAAUCUUCUGAUUCUUUGUUGAAAUAUUUUUCCAUACUCAAUAAUAGAUUGUGGUCAAGGAGGUAGUCACAAAAAUGAUAGAUUUGGAUUUAGGUUGGAUACCCAGCAAGGAUCUUCAAAUUUCCAGUGUAGAAAUUCAUAAUACAUGGAUAGAAAGGCUAGCAAGAAAAAUGUUUACACAAAGGAGAUGGCCACAUUCAAAGUCUCAUACCACCAAAAUCAAUCUUAAUCCAACUCAUCAAAAUAUAAGUUUGCAAUCUAAAGAUUUCAUCAUGAAAGAUCAUGCAUGUAUAUAGGCUAUAGUAGGUAGAACUUGGCAAGAAAUUCACAAAUGUUGAUAGCAUAUGAAUUAAUUUUAAAUAAAAAUAAUUCAACUUAUCAGAUCAUCAGAAAACUUGAAUGAAAGAACAACAUAGAGUUUGUGGGUCUAGAAUUUAGUCAUUUAACUUCCACAAUUAAAAGAGCGGUAUUUAAUCAAUUUAAGUUCAUUAAAUAGAGAGCAAUUAGUCAAGUCAUAUACAACAUUGUGUAGGUAAAACAAAGCGGCAACAUUCAUCAUUUUUCUAUAAGCAAGAUUAUACCAAAAUUAUUAACAUCAUGCUGAGCACAAGGUGAUGGUGAUCAUGAUUUAAAGAAAAAAACUAGGUUGUACUCCUAGUAGCCAUGUUAUUAUCGAGAGAUAUACAAAGGUUGCAUCAAGUCUAUAGUUGAAUGAUUAUAUACACUAGAAAGAGAUAGACAAAGAAAAGAUUGAGCAAGAAUUUACCAUCCUUUCGAUACUUGUGAUGAAGUGCAGCACAACCUCUGUUAGGAUACGAGGUAGGCUACUGUGAUGACCGACCCCAAAUCUUUCGAGUUAAUCUAAUCCGAGUCCCUGAUCCCCUAUCUCAGCUUCCCCGAGUUUAAGUGUUCAACCUCCAGUUCUGGUCCCGACCCCUGAGAACCCGACCCCUCUCUGCCGGCUCCCAGCUCCGACCCCUGUAGACCCCCAACCCACCCCGUCGGUCCCUUCUGAGUUCCCCAAGGCAGUGCCCUUCUCAAUCUUGAGCAGAGGACAAACCGAGGCUGACCGGUGGACCCGCAAUCUUUUCCCCGAUCUCCCGGUGCAGACGCACAUGAGUGGCAUGCCCGCUUCAGAGCUUCUCCGCCGUGUGGCUCAACUCCUCCGACCCCCACCGCUCCGCCCCGUCGCUGGCCGCAACCGGAUGGAUUCCCGCGCCCUCUUCCCAAAUCACAGCGGAAGCCCUCUGCAACCCUUUUUGCAGUGCCUCGCAGCUCGCGCCCAUCAUCACCUCGCCGGACCCCCGGCUGCAAGGCCCGAUGCCUCACGGCUUUUCCGCCACCUCUCCACAAUCGCGCCGCCCCAGAUGCGCUACGCGACGAUUCCUCCUUCGCCAACCCCGACCCCGGCCGCGACAGCUCCUUUUCCACCUUGCCAGAACUGCGCCCCGACAGACCGCUGCUUCACGCUCGCCCGCGCAGCCGCAGCCUGCCUGUCUUCUCACCUGUGCAACCUCGCUGCUAGCACCAUUCCCCCUAUCACACCCAUCAAAUCCGCCGCACGACGACGCCUGCCUCCGCCAAAUCGCAACCACCGGCAAAACCGCGCCUGCGCCGCCCUGUCUCCAGUGCCCAAUGGCUGAAGGUGUCAUCCCCGAAGUCCUGUUCCGCCGCCCCGCUGCUCAAUCACCGCCAUGGCAGCGCACUCCAUCGCUUCUUCCCGGUCUUCGUGCUGCUCCAGCUCUCUCUCCCCGCGCAGCUAUAAAAGGGAACGCUCGAGCCCUACCGGAGUUCCCUUCGCCAUCGCUGCCUUACCGCCUGGUUCCUCUAUUUCGUGCUCGAGCACUGCCACCUAAGUUCCUGAGGAACUCUCCUCUCCACUCAACACCCGCCUUUCCCAAUCCAUCCAGCCGCUUGCUCCUCCGCGCUAUGCUAAAGCUUGCUUGUUGUCCACAAGAAGCACCGCCGCCGCCGGAGCACCGCCAGACCUCGCCGCUGCCCAAGUCUAAGUGCUUCAGUCCUUCUGCCCAAGUCUGCUCCUUCCCAACCCCAAGCUUCACCUGUAAACCGAAGGUAAGCUGCUGACCCCUUUUCCGCCUCGCCCGACCCUGUCUGUCAGCCCGACCCCUUUUCCACCUCGCCCAACCCUGUCUGUCCGCCCGACCCCUUCUCCGCCUCGCCUGACCCUAUCCGUUCGUUCGACCCCUUUCUCCGUCUCGCUCGACCCUGUCUAUUUCGCCGACCCUUUCUCCACCUCGCCCGAGGGCUCGGCUGUAUCCUUUUCCUUGACCCGACGGUAUAUGUGUAAAGAUCGGGGACUUCUAUGCGUUAAGUCUGAGGACCCCCCCAGCACAACUAUUCCUCUAGCCUAAGGGUCAGAUCAUAAGUUUAUUCCCAUUCGACCCUUUUACCUUGCUCUCCACCAACUCAAGUGAACUUUCCCACUUUUUCCGUAGCUUUGCUACAAGUUUCUGGGCUAAAACUUGCAAGUGUUGCUGUUAAAAUAACCGUCUAAGUGCUAACUCCUGCUUUUGCAUUCGUGUAGAGUUGCAACUCACUGACGGCGUCUACGAGCUGUACCCGGUGCCAGAAGACGGAGCUGUAGCCGAGCUACCGCUUCCAGAAGCCAAAGCCGCCCCAGCAGAAGACCCGUUCCCUUCCUUCUCGCUUGAAGGCAAGCCCCGGAGCAUGAACCCCAGUUUCCCAAACUUGCGCAUGCCUUCUUCAUCAUGUUUGUGCAUUACGUAUAGGAGUUUUUUGCAACCAUAGAUGCAUGGCGUAGUUCCUUGAUCUGAACAUUAGUUGUUGGACCGAGUAGUUGCUAUGCUUAAAUAGGAAGCGGUAAAAGUCGAGUGAUUUCCUAUCACUCGCGAGUUAUAGGAGUUGGUUGUUUCUCCUUCUGUUACAACUAUAAGGAUGAUGGACGGGGCAGGGUUCUGGUUAACUUUUGGUGGUCGGCUGAUCGCCCCGUCUAUCUAUGGAAUCUAUUCAGGCCCGACAGUGGUGGUGUUCGUGAUCAAGUGUUUGAAAGUACUAACCUCAUACUCAGUAUGGGAUGAGGAAGCCUAGUACCGGAUUGAACCUAGACGUGAGCGGUCGCCCCAUUGUCCUUGGAACGGAGUUCCCCUGCGGCCGCACGUGGUGCCAAGUGUGGUCACAGGACGGCAGAGGCCGGGUCUGUGGAACCUUGCACCAAAGGAAAUGGGCCCGACACGGGUUAGGGAAUUGAUGGGGAAGACCGACACAGGAAGCGACCUCGGUGGUGCGCGGAUGUCGUGAGGUUAGGUUCACCAUGCAUCGUUAAAGAACUUGAAUCGAUUCGUCUGCCUCUCACAGUUUGAGACUGCUUGAUCGCUAUGCUACACUGAGUAAUAAAGGAAUAUGAUGAUGACAUGGUCUUGAUGAUGCUUAUAUACCCUUUUGGUUGGAUCUAUGUUGCUUAGAGUCAGUUGCCAACUUAGACCGGUUAAUGAACUUAGAAUCUGAGCUAAAAUUUUGAAAAUAAGUAUCUACUUAGUGCUUUUGGCAAACAAACCCCUUAGCCAAAGAGCCUCACAUGUCUAGAAGUGGUGGAGUAGUUUACUCCCGAUCGGUUAAGUCUUGUUGAGCUUAGUAGCUCAGCCUUGUUGUGACUUUCUUUUUCAGGUGAAGCCACAGCUCCUAAGUCUUCUCCUGUUGGCACUUGGCCGCCCCAACUCCCUCCGGGUUGGACGGUCGAGUGGGAUCCCUCCUCGGACGGCGAGGAAAGGGAUCACUGAUGUCUUGGCUGGCCUCACCAAGGACAUCCGACCCCAGCGCUAGCUUCCGCUGUUUUACCUUUCCGCUGCUUUGAACCUUGUAAAACUCUGAUUUUCGUUUUGUUGUUGAACUAAAUGGUCAAAUUUGUUUAACUCAGUGGACUUGUUGUAUUCUCUGGAACCGCUCACCUUCGUGUGAGUUUGCUAACUCGGUCUUGUUAAAGUGGUUAAAUCGGAUGAAAUCCGACGGCACUUCGUGUUAACUUGGCUAAGGCAUGAGUGUCACGUGUUAGGCGACUUAAACAUAUUUUAAUCAAGCUAAUCCGAGGUGGUUCCGCCACAGCUACACUAGCUCAAAUUAAAAUUUUCUACCGCGUAAACUAGGAAAACUGUCGUAUAAGGAUCACGGGAUUACCACUAGACGCACUAGUGCGGAAGAUGUAGAUUCGCGUCGAUGCAGCGAAGUCGAUCAGCGUAGUCGUACGUAGUCGAUCACGUCGACGUCCAGCAGCUCCUCAGCAGCUCGUCCACGUGCAGCAAGAUCGUCCUCGUGCCGCGGCUCAUCGUCGGCUCGUCGUGGCUCGUCGGUGGCUCGUCGUGGCUCGUCGGCGGCUCAUCCAAGUGCUGCAGGCGCAACACCUCCAAGGUAUCCACACGUGCAGGGAGGAAGCGUCGCAAGCCGGACUGCUAGAUCCGUGAAAUGCAACAGGUGAGGGCGUGGGAGGCACGACAGAUGUGUUUCGCCAAAAGGUGUAAACCCUAAGGGGCCCCCACCCCUCUAUUUAUAGAGGUUCCUAACGGGCCUCUGGGUCCGAGGCCCAUUAGUACUUCUAAACCUAAUCCAACUCGGAUCACAUCCGAAUUGGGCUUCCAGCCCCUUAAGUGUGUGACCCUAUGGGUUCGGAUACGUAUAGACAUGGCCCGAGUACUCCUACUCGGCCCAAUAGUCGGUAGCGGCCUCUAGCAAGAUGUGCCAACUACUAUAUGCACACGAAGAUCAUAUCAGAUGAACCAUCACAACAUUAUAUACAUGCUAUUCCCUUUGCCUCACGAUAUUUGGUCUAGCUUCAAGCCGACCGCUCUUUCUCGAUCCUGUGAUUCGUAAUCCCUUUGUAGGUCAACUCUUAACCAUACGUAGCAUGGCCAUGCAUUUUCGGAUCCGAUGACUCGAGGGGCCCAGAGAUAUCACUCUCAGUCAGAGAGGGGCAAAUCCCAUCUUGAUUGACCAUGUCUCACAUCAUGCUUCUUGACAAACCCGAAAGCUACCUUUAUAACUACCCUCUUACGGCGUAGCAUUUGAUAGCCCCUAAGUAGGUCGAUCCACAUCUUGAAUACAUGCAACAAUCUCAGGUCUAAGGACAAAGCGUAUAUGUUGUUUAAAGAGAGAACUACUUCUCGUGUUGGGUCAGUCCUAGCACAUGUCUCCACAUGUACCCACAUUAUUAGUUCAACAUCUCCAUGUCCAUAACUUGUGAAACAUAGUCAUCAACUAAUACAUGUGCUAGUCUAAUAUUCAUGUGUGUCCUCACAUGAACUCCGACUAGGGAUAACUUUAGAAUAACCAUACAAGUAAAGAGUUUCACACACAAUUCACAUAAUUUCAAAUCAAUUCAAGUAGCCUUUAAUGGAUAUUCAAGGAACACAAUAUAAAUCAUGGAUACAAAUGGAAUAUCAUCAUCUCUAUGAUUGCCUCUAGGGCAUACCUCCAACAGCCUCCCCCAUGCUUAAGCAUUGUGCUUAGCAUGGAAGAAGAAAAAUGAGCAUCUUCUGACAAAUGUGAUCCUUGUAUUCUUCGUCUGCCAAGUCAUCCCCCAUGCUUAGCAUUAUGCUAGGCAUGGAAGAAGAAGAUGAAGCUUUUUGUGAUUGUUGAAAUCCUUGUUCUCAGCGUUUGAAGCUUGUCUUUAUGCUUAUUCACAUUUGUCGCCUUUAUUGUCCUUCAAUUUCUUCUUUUUUCAUGAAAGCGUUUCACCAAGCCUGCAAAAUAAUUCAAGUGCACAAACUACUCUCGAGGUGAUUGUCGGGAGUAGAAGCAAUCACCAACAAACCAACAACAUCCCUAAGACUUUAACUUGUGGCAUAGCUAAUAUAAUAAAAUAAAAACAAAAACCUAAUGAGUGUACGUGAGUGCAAGUGUGAAUGCAAAUGAUAGUUAGGAUCAUAAACAAAGACAAUCUUUGCAGCAAGUUCUAAGCACCAUGCUUAAAACUAGCUUACUGAAAUUCUCCAAAGCCUUAAAAAAAUUGCUAAUCAAGGUCAAACACCAUGCUUAUCCCAGGAUCAUAACUCUUUCCAGCACAAGAAAAAUAGAGCGCAUUGCAAAGAUUAAAAACCAACCAAUGCAAUAUGGAAAUGAUAUGGAAAGCUAGCAAGGUUUAUUAAACUAAAUGAUGAUGGUUUGCAACCAAGUCUAAACACCACAUUUACACAAGAUUACAAAGAGAAAAUACCCUAGAAGCAUUAACAUAGAUAUGAAAGCAUUCAUCAUAAAAGUUUUUAGGAGAAAGACACACAUGAAUGAUGGAACAAAUGCAAAUGCACAUGCAAAAGUGUUAGCAAACACAAAGGCUAGCAAAGUUGAAAAUACUAUCGAUGUUGUUCCAUAAUUAGUUGAGUCAAAAAGAAUUGAUUAGAAUGACAAGGCAAGGUUGGCCACUUCAUAAGAAGUCAAGCAAUGUCAACAAGAAAACCAUUCAUCGAAAAGCUUCAACAACCAAACUAACAAGGCUAAGGGUAGGUUUAUAGGUAUCCUAUAUUUUUGGCUUGAAACAAGAAUUUUGAAGAGAAAAAUCAAGCAUAAAAAUUCUAACUAAGGGGGUUUUGAAAAACAAAAAGAAAAGAUAGGGCUUGUUUUUUUGGAUGAAAAGCAAAAACCUAUGGUUUUAGGAUGGCUCUAAGUAAGGGUGUAGUCAGAACAGAGGUAAAAAAACUUAGGCCGAUCUGAAUGGUGCAGCAAGCUGAUUAACACAAGUUAAUCCAACCUUUGUUGGCUCUGGUUUUAGGUUGGGCUGAUAAGAAGGUUUAGGUGGAAAAGAUUUUGAUAAAAAUAAUAUAAAAAUGCAAUGCAACAUGAGGUGGAUAUACAAAAUGAUAUGACAUGAUAUGGAGGUGGUCCAAAUCAAAACAAAAGGUAGCCUAAGUUAACUAGUCACAAGUUUAGAAUCAAAGGGGUGGUGCCAUGCUUCAUAUUUCUUUCUAAAAGGACACAAAGAAAAAGACUAUAAACACUAAUAGCACACAAAAAAGGGUCUAUAAGUUUUCCAAGAUCAAGUAAGAAAGAGCUCCCUCAAUAUUAUUUAAAGCAUACAAGAUGUGGUUGUAGAAUUUGUUAGAGCAAGGACACAAUGUUAAUUGAUGAUUUUGAUUAAAAAGCAUAAUAUAGACCGUCAUCUUAGUAAAGAAAAUAAAUAAAAAGACGAGUUGCCUCACGAAAGAGCUUUAGGUAAAGCCAUAUAGCUAGACUUCUCACCUCGAUAAUGUUCAUAUGAAGACAUGAUCUUCUGCGCAAGAAUCCAAAGUAUCCAUGCAGCUUGAUGUCAUCUUUUGUAAUCCUUUGUGGUUUGCUUCUAACACCUCUUUGUAUUGGAUGUAGCCUGCUUGUGUCUUCAUAUGCCAAUGCACCAGAGGGUUUUAUUUUAUUCUAAGCUUCUAAAUUUGAUCAUGUACACUUGAUAAAAGUAUUGCCCAAGCUCCUCUUCAUUGUUGUCAUCCUCAUCUCCUCCAUCUUGUUCUCAUCACCUUGCUGUUGCCUCAUCUUCUUGGAUUUUCCCCUAUGCCCAGAUUAGAACAUAUACCGAAAUAUAGCUCUAUUGAAAAGUUUAUGAAAUUAUUUUUCCAAUGAGUGGUCAUUCAUCUAAAAUGGAGUUUAAAUGAGAGAGUUAUGCCUAUUAUUUUUAGCAUUGCGGGCUGUCCAGAACUGAUUUCAAGAUGCACGAUGUUCAAUGAUUUGGCCAUAACUACUUGUGGAAUCUUUGAUUGCCUUGAUUCUUAAUUAUUUUGAAUGUAGACUUCAAUGGGCUUCUUAAUAUCUAAAAAUAUUCUAUUGUUUUCUUCUAAGGCUUGCAAAAUCUUGGUGACAACAGUAGCUUCUGGUGAAUUCAUCUGGAGAUGAUGAUCUUGAUAUUGUGGUCUUUGGUGCAUUAUGUCACACAUCAUUUGGCUUCAAGGUCAUCACCAUUGCGGCACUAGUAAGUACAUGCCGGCAAUGAUGCAUCUUCUCCAUAAUUCUUGCUUUAGCCAAGGUGUUGGGAUCAGAGAAGGUUCCUAUGCUUUGUGUUGACGAUCUGAGCAGUUUUCUUCCUUGAUUGCAUCACUUAAUUAGAAGCUCUUGAGCAUCCUAUUGGAGAAGAUUGGUAGUAUCAUGGUGCUUUUAAUCUUGUUGCCUCCAAUCUUGAUGAACGUAAUCGUCACCUUCUGUGUAGAGGGUCCUCCAAUUGUUUUUCCUCUUUGCUUGACAUGGUUGCUUCCAACACCUGUUACUUGAACAAACAAAUCUCAAAAAAACAUUAAUCUUAAAAAUUAAUUGACAUAGCAGCAUACCUUGCUUAUAAGCAUUUGUAUUGUCUUCAUUGGUGUGCACUCGAUAGCAGAUGCUGGACCACUAAAAAAUUUAGCACCUACUGCUAAAGAGUUAGGCUUGAUGCUGUUAUCACCUUAUCGCAAUGAAUUAAGACUUGAUGAAGUCCAUGUUCGAUCAUCUGGCGUCUAGUAUUUACCUACUUUCAAGAAAAAUAGGGUAUAUGCAAUAAAAAAAAUUAGAGUAAGUUUGAAAAAUUAGAUAGAUCGCCCCAAGGUUCGAGUUGCCGAUUCACAGCAACUACGCCAAAAAAGCUUGUUGAUGGCAGUUAGCACGCCAAGUUGUGAACUGCAAGUACACGGAUCAUUGUAGCUUUUUCCUUAGAGUAUUUCAUCCAAGAUUUAUCAAUCCGUGGAUCAGCAGUGAACUGACUAGGGUUCUCUAUCUAGCUAAAUGGAUCUAAUCCUAUCAUGAAGCAUAAAUUGCAUAUAAAGGUAAACCCAAUCAUGAGAUUAGUAUUAUAGACAUGGUAAAUAGAUCACAUCCAUAUGUAUGAGGUAACACAACCAAAGGUAGCAUGAGCCUAUUGUCUUCUUAUUGAACUUCCAGCCAAAGUGGUAACCAAUUUAUGUAGCACCUUGAUAAAGAGUCAUCUAUUAGAAAGGCGGCUCGCAAAUGGCCUACUUUCUUGUGGUCACCACUUUGAGGUGCGUGUUAAUGCCUCCGAUUUCACAAAGCUUUACCUCAAACGACUCCCACAAUACUCACCAUCAAUUAUACUCAACAUUAGGCAAUCAUUCGGCCUUAUCCCUCCCACAUGCUGUCACCACGCAAGGGUAAUCACACCGACUUCCUACGCACUACUAAGAUGUAUCUGUAAGAUAUAGACUAAUCACCAUGAUUACAUCUAUUCCUACUAAGAACAUAUACUAGCUAAACAUAUGAGAGUAAGCAUGCAUCACAGUGGAUCAAAGUAAGUACAGGAUUAUAUUGAUAUCACCAUCGUGUGUAGCCUUGAUGAUGACAAGGCUCGGCUCCAGAACUCCACCAUGGCUUCGCCGUGCAGGGACAACCAUGGUAGCUAGUGUCUAGCCUAAGCCAUGUCCUAGAUGACCUCGAAGACUUGCAGCAGCCCUCAGCUCCCUCUGGUGUGUGUCCCUCUAUUUGUCGACUUCUAGUGAAUGGAUCUCGGGGCUUGGUGAAUUUUUGGGAUGUUUAUAGUCUGGAGAAUGCGUGGUAAAAAUUGGAAGGUGAGGAGGCAAAGGAAACCCCUAGGCCAAUCGGACUGGGAGGGUCCAAGCCGAUCGUCCUGGACCUUCCUUUUACCCUCUCACAUCCUGCUUCGUCCUGAAGUCUUCUUAGAUGCUCAAGAGUCUUAUUUUCACUUGCAUGUGGGCCUGGCAUGUCAGUAGCUUUGAGGCUUUAUCUAAAAAUAUACUUUUAGGUCUAAUUUUCUGCAAAAAUAGAAUAUCCUCCAAAAUACAAUGCAUAUGCGAAAACGAGGUUAUUUCAGGUGCCAAGUGGUGGGUUAGUAUAAGAACACGUAUGAAAACACCACUUAAAUGGUACUAAAAGUAUGUCAAUAAUGAGCGUCAAUACUUGUUCAGUCAUGUUAGUUAUUACUUGUCGUAACCGCUCAAUUUGUGAAACAAGCUUCUAUAAAAAUUAUAAAAAAAAUAUUAGUAUGAUGUAAUGAGUAAUAAAAUCAGUAUUAGAGUACAGAGGGCGUAAGUACCAAACUUUGGCGUAAGUGUAGUUGUGUAAUGGGCACGGGUCUGUGACCGAUGGGGAAGCACCAGCAGGCUAUGCUGGGGUAUUUGGGGGAAACGACGAGAUAUAUCGUUCAACACUGCGAUGUAUUGACACUUUAUCCUACAAAAUUUUAUCAAAUACAUAUCAUUCACUACUUCGACAAAAAAGAAAUAUACUUCAUAUAGUGGACUUCACGGAGUCAAGAAUCCUAAAACAAUGGUAGAACAUCGGAUCCCACCAUCUCUUUGGAAUGUUCCUGUUCAUCUCAGAUUUCUUGACUGAAAUCACAUUGUUCAUGCGAAUUCCAUAUCUAUGGAGAGCCAUCUCCGCUCCUCCAGUACAAGAGAAUAGUGUAAGAACACAUUCAUGCACGUGCUGAUAUUGUUCUCUCGUAUUGGACGAGUGGGGGUGGUACAUCCAUUACCGGUCCAUCUGCAUCAUAUUAUGUGAAAAAUGAACAUAGGGCUUCGUAUUAGAUAAAAAACUUGAUCAACAUCAGGUAGGGAAAAAUAGAGUAAAUAUGUUUAUAAAUAAAUUAUUUCUCCUCGUUAUAAAAUACUCUCCAUGCUCCUCAUUAUAAAAUACUCUCCAUUCUAAUAAAUCAACAAGUACUCCAUUUGUAACAUAAAACUCAUUCUGAAAAACGCUCCACUCUACUCAUUCUAAAAAUGCUCCUCAUAAUAAAAAAAUCAAUAAAUACUCCAUUUGUAACAUAACACUUAAUUUAAAAAACUCUCCAUCCUCCUCAUUCUAAUAAAUCAACAUACUCCAUUUGUAACAUAAAACUUAUUCUAAAAAAACGCUCCAUUCUCCUCAUUCUAAAAUACUCUCCUCAUUUUAAUAAAUCAACAGAUACUCAAUUUGUAACAUAAAACUUAUUCUACAAAACGCUUCGUUCUUCUCAUUCUGAAAUACUCUCCUCAUUCUAAAAACUUAACAAAUACUCCAUUUGUAACAUAAAACUCAAUCUAAAAAACUCUCCAUUCUCCUCAUCCUAGCUAACAUUCUCCAUUCUAGCUACAAAACAUAAAACAUAUAUAGAAUACUAAACAUGAGAGGAAGGAUCGAGUUGCUAACAUUUUCCUCACCUAGGUCGAGUGAUGAAGAAGUCUGAGCUCUCGGUCAAAUGGUUGAACUCGAGCUCGGGGAGGAAGAAGCAUGUCAUGCAUGUUAAUACAGGUUGAAGAUACCAGCCGAUACCAACAUGCAUGAACACCAUUUAGUACCGGCUCCACCCACCAACCGGUACUAAAUGGCUUCCUGGGAAAUUUAGCCAUUAGCCACACGGUCCACGUGUCGCCAUUUAGUACCGGCUAUGACUCCAAACCGAUACUACAAACUUCCGGUGGCACUGUGGGUGACGACGGUACUAAAGCGCAGAUGAAAAGCGGUCCGGUACUAACGCGUUGAAUUAGUACUAAGUUUUCCUGUAGUGCUUACAGCUUUUGAAAUAUGCGACGCUCUUAAUCCUGCCCUGUCCGAUGGAACUGUUAACCACUGCAGUAACUGUCCUUGUACAAGAGGGUGAGAAAGAUGAAGACGGAAGGUUCCAUCUUCUUGUGUAUAUUGCCACCAUACCUGUCCAAGGUUGCUGAUGUGUGUGAGAAGGGAGGGGAGAUGCAAGUGUGCACGCCAGACGACGGCACGGCCAGAGCUAAUCCCGCUGGAAGCAAUAACUCGCGUCGUCUAUCCCGAGCUUGACCAUGAGAUGGCAAGAGCGGUGAUGGUGUCUUCAUCUCCCUAGCGUGGCAAGCCUCCAACAGAUGGCGCCCCAUGUGUCAGCCUGCAUGCACGCCUCGCCUUUACUCGGUGACGAUCAUAUGCUCCAACGUCCCAGGACAACAUCUCUCUCGAGUCUGUUGUGUCCCUAGCUACCUGUUCCUCACGCACUCUCACAUAGAAGCUGGGGACAGCAGAACCAUGGCGAUGGCGCCCGUCUUACUCCACGCCUUGCUCUUGGCAAGCGCAGCCGCGGCAGCAGCCAUGAACAACGCAACAGGUGACGGCAGCAGCAACACCACCAAGUCCCGGAUCCUGUGCAACGGCGCCGAGUGCGAGCCGCCGGGGAAGACGCUGCCGAUCUACGGCUACCCGCCACCGGCGCCGUCGCUGCCGUCCGCACCGCCGUCGCCGCCUUCGUCCUCUGGGUCACAGACGCCGUGCCCGCCCGUGGCCGUCGUCUGCUGCGGCGGCGCAGGGAUGCCACAGCAACCAAACUACUAUGGGCCUCCUACCGGCGGUUACGUGCCCUACUACAACGCCUCUGCUUCGUCUCCUGCGCUGCUUGCUCCUAUUACUCUUGUUGGCUACUAUGUGAUGGUUGCUUGCAUCUUCUUACUGUGGCUUGUGGUGUAGUUUCUGGCACGUGACGAAUAGCGUUUAUCUUGGGUUGAUACAUAUGGAAGAAAUUUAAGGGUAUACUUGUGAACCACUAUAUAGACUUAGUAGCUAACGUGUUCAAGGGUAACUACCGUGUCGUGUGUGUGAUGUGGAUCGGAGAUUCUAUGGCGUCUCUCCAUUCUCCUCCGAUAACUGGUGACGAAGCAUGCACACGUCCUUGUGAUUGUGAAACGAGUUGCCAGUAGUAAUCGAGUUUGAGGAUUCAAAUAAUUUAUAAAUACUAAGGUUAUAAAGAAACAAGGCUCGUUAUUUACAAACAUGCUGAAUCUGACACUAGUUCUUAUGCGAGCCCUUGCCUACGAGAAAUUUCAAUUCCCCAAUUCGUCGCACCGCCCGAGAAAAAAAGAGCCACAAACACGAGAAACGGUAAAUAGCUAGAUAGAAUCCUAAUGCUGCCUCUGAUAUAUAGUUAGAGCCAAUUGGAGCAUACGUGUCACAUACACCUAAAGCCAGUCUCUUGGCAUGGGUUUGGUUUUAGAAUGACGUUGGUUGGAUUGGAGCCGACCCCCUUUUUGUGAGUUGGGGUCGAUCCAUCUCGUGAUUGAAUGAGAAAGAUGGAGAGGGAUGGGUUCGACCCAGUUUUUUAUUUAGUUGAAGGGUUGAGAGGGAGGGGAUGGAUGCUAUUUUAACACUAUUCGGAACAGUUGUAUGUGGAUCCCAUAUGUAAUCGUGGAUCCACCUGUCAUCCUCCUCUUCUUUAUUUUUUCCCGUGCACCUCUUCUUCCUCUCGAGCAGUCUAUCUUCUCUGCUCCUGCACCACCCACCGCCCUGCUCCUGCCUCCAGCGCCGCCCCUCCAUCCCUUCCUCCCUCUCUCAUGCGCCGCUUGCCGCCUCUUCCUCCCUUUCUCCUACGCCGGCCACUAGCCCUCCCUCUCUCUCCUGCGCCGCCCCUCCCUCCCUCUCUCCUGCGCCGCCUGUCGCCCAUCCCUCUCUCCUGCGCCGUCCUGCGCUGACCCUGGCCCUCCCUCCCUCUCUCUCCCCAGCGUUGGCCUCCGCCGCCGCACCUCCCUCCAUCUCUCCUGCGCCGCUCGCUGCCCGCCACCCCUCCCUCCCUCUCCCCAGGGCCAGCCUCCGCCGCCGCCCGUCCCUCCCUCUCGCCAGCGCCGCCCUCCGCCGCUAUAGAUAGCCAAACGGGCGGCCCGGCCCGGCCGGGCACGGGCACGAAUAGGCCCGGCCUGUUUAGGCCCGCCUAUGUGUCGUGCCAGGCCAGGCCGGCCCGCGUGCCGAAAGAGCGGCCCAGGUCUGGCCUGCUAACUUCUUACGCAGGCCGUGCCGGCCCGCUGGCCCGGCGGGCCUUAACAGCCUCACCGUGCCCGUGCCAGCCCGUGUAACGUUUUAACAAAAACCCCUCACCAGAAUCUAAUAUAUUCAAAGGAAGACAUUUUGAAUAGGUAAAAACUCACAAAUUCAACUGAUUCAAUAUAUUCAUAGAUUCAACUGAUUCACAAAUUCACCAAGAUUCACACAGAUUCACAAUCACAAUAACACAAACAAAUAUGAAUAUUAUUUUGAGCUGUUUGUAUUGCUGCCUCAUUAAAAACCUUUGUAGGUAAAAACUCACACCUCGUGAGAAAACCCUACAAAGGAAAAAAGAGUACAGCCAGCUCAUAAGUUCAUUGUUCAGAUACACUAUACACAAUCACACAAGUUCACAACUCAACUGACAACUGACAACUCACAAGUCACAAGAUCUACACAAGCACAACAGCACAAGGCUUCUCACUUCUGAGUUCUAUCUUGCUCCUGAACACUGACAGAGCACCAACAGGGCAGCAGGCAUCUAGCUUCUGCAAAAAAUGAUAGGAGGAUUACCAAUAAUUCAAGUAACAACUAACACAAGUAUAUUGAAGUAACAACUAACACAAGUAUACUGAUUAGAAGUAAAUGAGAGUAGAAAACUUACUCAUCAAGAUACAAAUCCUCAAAUGACUCUUCAAGUUCGGUAUCGUCGACGGUAUGCUGCAGUCUUGCAUCUCCUUGCUCCCAAUCCUUGAUCAAAGCCAAGAUCUCCACCAUCUCAGGGGUCAGACGACGUCGCCGCUCCUCAAUGAUCCUGCCAGUGGUACUAAAUGCAGAUUCUGAAGAUAUAGUAGAGACAGGCACAGUCAUAACAUCCCUAGCUAAGAUAGACAGAACAGGAUAUGAUAACUUAUGCUCAUGCCACCAGGUCAAUAUGUUGAAGUCAUCAUCAUAUUGAUUGAUAGUGUCACUGUCUAGGUAAGCAGACAGUUCAGAAGCAGCAGCAAGAGAGGCACCAGUUUGAGCAGCUUGCAACAAAGCACUAGCAGAUUGUCUCCUAGACAGGGAGGAGGAAACAGAAGUAGAACCCAGGCCAGCACCAAGGCUAGCAGCAGAAUAAGUAGAUGAAGCAGCCUGGGAACCAAAGAUCUUACCCCAAGCAGUCUUCUUAUUACCUGCAGGGCCUCGCUGAGUGGCCCUCUGCAUCCUCACAGAACCAUACUUAGCUUCAUAUUUGCCAAAGAUUGUAGACAAUUCAGCUCUUACAUCAGUUAAGUAACUAGAAUAAUCCUUACCAGUUAGCUGAGACAUCAGCUGAAGCACAUUGCUAAAACCAGUAAUCUUAGCUCUAGGAUCCAAUAUAAAAGCAAAGGCAUAAAGCAUAGGUAUAUCAGCCCAAUAAGAUAAGAACUUAGACUUCAUGGGUGCAACAACAUGUUUCAGAUCAGCAUCAUCAGCAUAGAAAUUAAGGUGCCCAGCUAUCUCAAGAAUAUGAUGCAAGAUUAAUGGAGCAGUAGGAUAGUAAACACCAGACAGAAUAACAGUAGAAUCAUAGAAUUGUUCAAGAAAUAUCAGAAUCUUUUCAGCAAUAUACCAGUGUAAUUCUGUCAGAAUUGUUUGACCUUCAACCAAACCAUAUUGAGUGGUUAUGAACUGAUGGAAUGUGGUCUUAUGGGGCAAUAGAUGCUUCAACAUGAGAUAAGUUGAAUUCCAUCUAACAUCCAUGUCCAAAGCAAACUUAUGAGGACGGACACCAACAGCAAUGCAAUAUGACUUGUAUGCCGCAAUACGUUGGUUAGAACAAUUCAGGAAUGAAAUUGCAGUUCUAAAUGAACUAAGUAUAGGCUUGAAAACAUCAAGGCCAGCCUUAACAAUAAGAUUAAUGAUGUGACAAGCACAAUGCUGAUGAAAAAAAGUCUACCCAUGUAACCAGUCAGUGAAGGAUGAAGCUUACCAAUGGCGGCAGUGUUUGCCGAUGCAUUAUCCAGUGUGAUAGAAAAUAUCUUAUCAUUUAAACCAUAAUCAGUAGCAACAGCUGUAAUGCGCUCAGCAAUAUUAUCAGCAUUAUGAGAAACAUCAAUUAAACGAAGGCCUAAGAUCCUCUUCUCUAGUUGCCAAUCAGCAUUCACAUAAUGAACAACCACACUAAGGUAAUCUUCCUUAGCAUUAUCAGACCAUAUGUCAGAUGUAAGAGCAAUAGAGGAAACAGAUUGCAAAGAAGCCAGGAGUUUAGUACGACGCUCAUCAAAAUACUUAACAAAAUCUCUGGUGGUGGUUUGCCUAGACACACAACUGAAUCUAGGAUUAUGAGCAAUAUUAAUAUACUCCUCAAAUGCAUCAGACUCACCAAAGCAUAAAGGAAGGUCUAGUCUAGCAAUCAAUCUGCACAACUGGAUACGAGCAACAUCAGGAUUGUACUCCCACAUAUGGAGAGAGCCAUCAGGAUUGUACUUGAGUUGGGACUGAGCCAUACGUGAAGCACCUAGCAAGACUGGGCACUUUGGAAGGUGCCUAUGCAAGUGUCCAGUACCACUAGCAGACUUACCAGAAUAAAUUUUCUUGCAAUGUAGGCACUUAGCACCAGUUCUUACCCUCUUGUUAUUCUUUACCUCGUACAGAGGCUCAAAGUCAUCCCACACCUUAGAGGUGCAAGAACGAGUCCUCUUGCUGCCCGUACUCUCCGAGCCCGGACCAGCACCAGAGCCAGCAGCAGUAGGUGCUGGAGAAUCUCCAGGAGCUGGCUGAGCAUCGGGGACGGCACCACUGAGCAGCGCCCGCCGAUCCGCCUCCAAAUCAGAAUCAUCAUCUCCGGUCUCCCCCAUCAACCGCAACUCAUCAUUGAGGCAGGUUGGAUAGUUGUCGUCCAUCCUCGAGCACACCCGGAACCGAAACACACCCUCGAGCCCUCCACUGUUGACGUCGUCGCCUCGGCGGCUCCGUUCCUCAACGACGCGCGGCCCCUGUAGGAGACCUACACGAUAAAAGAGAAGAAAGUGAGGGAGGCGGAUCUGUGAGGUGUCAAAGAACGGAAGAAGAAGAGGAACGAGAGGAGUGAGGAACUGAGGAUGGUGUUUACCUACGCAGCCGGAGCCCGGAGCCGGAGAAGACGAACCGCAACGGUGGGGAACCAGGGAGUGAGGCGGAUCUGCGAGGGUCGGGGGGAGGAGGCGACUAGGCGAGGAACCGAGGGAGGCGGAGGGCUGGAGGGGCUAAGGGAGAAGCGGGGUUACGGGGAGGGAGGCGGAUGGGUGACCGGCGAGCCGGCGGCAGGCGAGGACGCCGGAUCUGAGAGGGGACUAGCGGAGGAGCAGUUACAGGGGUAGGGAGGUGGAGCCGGCGGAGAGGCCACCAGCAAGCCAGCGGUGGGCGAGGACGCCGGAUCUGAGAGUGGAGGAGCAGUUACGGGGGGGAGGGAGGCGGAGGGGCCACCGGCGAGCCGGCGGCGAGCAAGGACGGCGGAGGAUCUAGGGGAGGAGGCGAGGAGCCGGGAGGGAGCGGGGAGGAGGCGAGGAGACAGAGGCGAGGCGGCUCGAUGCGGGUUGUGGGAGGGAGCGGGGGCCGGGGGUAGGGUUUCCGCCGGCCGGCGCGAGGCCUUAUAUACGGCCGUUUGGCCGGGGCGAGGCAGGCCUGGCAGGCCUUAACAGGCCGUGCCGGCCGUUGCUGGCCCAUGGGCCAAAUGGGCCAGGCCAUGCCAGGCCAGCCCACGUGCUGAGGAGCAGCCCAGGCCCAGCCCGUGAUGUAGGCCAGGCCGGCCCGGCCUGCAAGGCCGUCGUGCUGGGCUGUGCCUGUACCGGGCCAAAAUGUCGUGCCGUGGGCCGGCCCACGGGCCGCGGGCCAAAUGGAAAUCUAUAUCCGCCGCCACCCCUUCCUCCCUCUCUCCUGCCCCGGCCACAAGCCGCCACCCGCGCGCCUGUAACACCCAAAAUUUCAAAUUUUGCAGCUUAAUAAAAUUUUGCUAACAAUAGGUUGCAUUUAAAUUCCUUAGGCAUUUAAUAAUCUUUUUGAAUUAAAUUAAUACAUCAUAGGAGUUCAUUAUUGGGUUCAUGUUGGUGCAUAGUUUUUGUUUGAUUGAGUUUGAAUUUGUGUUUGUUUUCAAAUUUGAAUUCGUUUGAUUCAAAGCUUUCUUCUUCCUUAAUUUCUUUCUUUUGGCCCGCAGCAGCCCACCAUUCCUUUUCGGCUUGCUUCGUUCCUUUUCCUGCGCCGGCCCAAGCUUCCUCCUGCCUAUCCGCCAGCUGGCCCAGCUCUCCUCCCGCACACCCUUUCUCCAGUCGCCGACAGGCAGGCCCCGCCCGUCAUCCGCUUCCUUUCGCCUCUCCCACACGCGUGCAGCUGCCGCGUCGCUUCUUCCCCGCGCCGCACCGGGACUCGAGCGCAAGUCCGACUUGGCCACACCCUCGAUUUGUCCCAGUUUGGGCCCGCACACUGAGGGACGUAUAAAGCCACCGCCACCCCGGGUUCUCUCUUCCAUCAAACCCUAGCCGCACUAGAAAGUGCCGCUACCAAGCUCUCUCUGCGCCGCCACCUGCCCGAGCUCGAUCUCCUCUGUCGUUGCCUCUUCAUCACCCUCAGCGUCGCUCGAAGCACCACGAGGAGGUGGGGAUCCUGGCCAUGCAUCUCACGUGCGCCGCCACAUCUUGCCCCGCUCGCCCGAGCUCGCCGGAGGCGCCGGCCGCCGCCUCGCUUCCCACCACCUCCACCGCUACUGGAACCCGCCCGUCGACUGCCUAAACGCUCUCGCUGCAGCCUCAUCUUCCUCCUAGUUCCAUCCACGCUCGAAACCACGCCCGGACACGUAUUCCCGGGCGAGUGCCGGCGACCCACCGUCGCCUUCCGGGCAUCCUGCAGCCCCGCAUCGCCGCCGCCGGAGGCCCAGAUCCGGCUGCACCUGGUCAAUACCGGUCAGCCAUGCCUUUUUGCAUUUAAGCCCUCAUGUUUUCUGCAAAUUGUGCCGCAGUCCACAGCAAUGCAAAAACCUUUUCAAAGAGGUCAUGUUUUCAUUCAUUUUUACCCCGAGCUUUUGCGAAAUCAACCCGCACUCCAUAGAUGCACUUUUGCAUGUACAACCUUCGUUUUAUAUGCAUAAUUGUGUUUAGAUCCUCGGUUUCUUGCUGUUUAAACCCUGGAAGUCUAGUUUUCUCGCACAUAGGCCCCUGCAGCUUGUUUUAAGCAUAUCUUUUGCGUCUUAGCUCCGUUUUUAGUGUUCUUUAUGUCCACGGGUUCGUUUCAACACGUAGACUAGUUUUGUAAAUUUGUUUUCUUCUUUUUAUAUGGAUUGGUGUACUGUUUUCUUAUUUUAUGCAUUUGUUGCUCCUAUGUGCUCGUGUGACGCAUGUAGAAGGAAUGUAGUUCGAGGAAUCCGAAGAAGAGGAAGACUGAAGACUCUGGGCAGCAACAGGGCUUUGAGGAAGGCAAGUGUCCUUGGUCAUCUCUUUUAUACCUAAAUGACAUGCAUUGAUUCACAAUAUUUAUUUAUCGCUUGCAUGAACAUGAUGGGUUCCUAUUAAGGACGAUGCCUAGUUUCUUUUGAUCAUACCUUGCAGCCGGGUUGUUUAAUUAAACUUGAGGGUAGAUGAUGCUUAGUUUUCUCAACUGGGUUGGCAAAUAAACAACAUGGUUAAAUUUAUUUAUUUACUCUAUGUUCCUCUGUGUUGAUUUAAUUACAAGACCAUAUCUGUUAAUUAGAACAUGGAGCAACCACCCAGGAAAAUAUUGCAACCACAAGAACUAAAUGGCUCUAGUCUUGGAUAACUAAUUAGAGGACUCUUGUGUUGGACUGGUGCUAAGGGAGGGCAUGACUCGCGGAAACUUGUGCACUAGAACACACUAGGGAAGUCUUUGUAAAGGCCUCAUAGUGUCCCGAUGCAAUCACACCUCGGAAAUGUGAUAUUGUUCCUACUUUUGCACAACAUGGUUGGGUAUAAAGUUCUCUUGAACUUUUACGCAAAUUGUGGGUAAAGAUGUAUAACCUCUACAGAGUGUAAAACUGAUAUAUCAACCGUGCUCACGGUCAAGAGCAACCUGGACCCUCAAAUGAUUAAUUCACUUGAAGAUGAAACAACUUGUGUUAUUUAUUAUGUUCACGCUUUUGGUAUAUCAAUGCUCUAUAUUAAUUGUGGGAUGGUAUAAACUUACAUUUGCUUGUAAUUAACUAUUGAAUAAAACUUGACCAACUAAAAGUUCUAAUCACAGUUAACCUUGUCAACCUUCUACCAUAUAAAGCCUUGCAUGUUAUAUAUUUUCUCUCUUGCUGAGUACGACAUGUGCUCACGCUUGUGUUUUAUAUAUUGCAUCUAUAACGUCCGGAUUGCUGCUUAGACCCAGAGAACUUUGAGGAUACUACUGGAGUUUUUGGAGGAGUUCUAGGCGAGUUCCCCAGUCAGCUGCCUAUGGAGUUAUUGGAGAUCCGCUACCUAUAUAUUAGAGAUUUUUUAUCUCAUUUCUAGUUUCGUAAUCUAUGUAACUCUCUCUCUUUACACUUUAACACUGUUUGAUAUUUACUGAAGUCAUCAUAUAUGUGAAACUUGAUCUUAGCACACAUAUGAUAGUCAUCUGGUUUUGCCUUUAAAACUGAGUAUGAUAGAAGUGGUAUCAGAGCUGUGUUGACUGUAGGACGUUAGCCUAGUUAGAAAAUGGUCGAAUUUAAGGAUUAUAAUGCUAUAGUAGCCAUGCUUUUUCCUAUUAUUGCUAUCUUAUUGCUACUCCCUACCCAUUGAUGAUUUAUCUUAUCCUUGUUGCUUAAAACUCUACUAUUUCUAUCUUACCUUGAUCUAAAAUCUUAGGUUUGUUCAGAGGCUCGUUUUGUACUAUCAUUAGAUGACUACAGAAAGGAGGAUAUCUUGCAAGAGUGCUUUUGGACCAAUCUCGCAUGCUCACCAGCCUUAGGAGCAUGAAGCAAUGGAACAAAUUGAAGAGCAUUUGCAGCUAGAUGAAACUAGGAGGAAGAAUGAGAUCAUAGAAACAAAGCUAAGAGGAGAUCGGAAACUACCAAAGGAGUUGGGAGAAAACCUGGAUAAAGAAGUGUCUAACCAACUCUCUGCCUCGCAAGAUUGCCCGCCAUGGCUCUCCUAGCUCUAGGACGAGUGUACUCUCUGAUCCUUAAGAUAACUUAGGAGGUUUUCUUAUCAAUAGUAAAAUGUUAGAAUCGAAUCAUUUGAUAAGUCUUGUUUAGUGUGCUUGUUAUGCUUGUCAUUGUGUUAACUUGCUUGAGUUGGUUCUUUGUAAUGAUUGUAAUGUGUUGUGGAGAGAUGAACACGAUGACAUCAGUUUUAGUAAUAGAUUUGUUAAAUGGGUUUUAUCUUGUCUCAAUUGAAGUAAAUCAAGCACAAUCUUUUAUCUAUCUAUCCAUCUAUCUACCAUACAAACCUAGAACUGCCCAAAAUUGUGUUCUAGUCACCGUUCGACAUGGCUGUACUGUUUGACUCAUAUCUAGAGCUAGAGAACUCUGAUUGACAUGAAUCCAGUUGGGUCAGCUCCAGAAUUUCAUGGGCUAAUUUCUGAAAAAGAUGCGUGAUUUUCAGAUCUACGGACAUAGAGAAAUCUGCGUGUUAGUGAAAUAAUUAGAAUCUAUCGUAAUAUAGAAUUAAUAUCACCCUACCUUCUUGAUUCAUCUAAAUCUACAAAUGUCUGAGUCUCUUUUUUUUCUUUCUUUCUUAUCCUUUAGAUGGUGAAUACCAGGUCUGGAUCUAGAGUGGGUUAUCCUGCACAACCCUAUCAGCGAAGGAGCCAUUCUAACCCCGAACCCUAGCAGAACCAAGUGCCAUCGAGAGGAAUGGAGCAGCUCCUCGCCGCCCACACUCAACUAUUGCAGAUGCUGGCCAACACCAUGACUAGCUUGCAAGCUCAAGUGAACCAGAUGCCACCAGCGCCACCUGCGCAUCCUAGGGAUAGGCAUAGGAAGUUCAUGAGCCAUCAACCUCCUACCUAUUCUCACUCAACGGAUCCAUUACAAGCUGAUGAUUGGCUCUCACUCGAGAUCACCCCAUGUAAUGAUAGGGAGAAGGUCCUGUAUGCUUCAGGAGGAUUGGAAGGACCCGCUGCAGAUUGGUGGGAUUCCUACAUAGGUGCCCAUGCAGACUCAUCUACCAUCACUUGGCAGGAGUUCAAGACCAACUUCAGCGCACACCACAUUCUAGCUAGUGUGAUUAAGCUUAAGAAGCAGAAGUUUCUUAGUCUCAAACAGGAAGAGAUGUCUGUGAAUGAGUAUCGAGAUAAGUUCAUCCAGCUAUCCCGCUAUGCACCAGAAAAGGUCGCUACUAAUGAGAAGAAGCAAGAUCAUUUCUUGGAAGGUUUAGAUGGACAUAUUCAAUAUCGGUUAGUGGCCCACACUUUCCUUAACUUUCAGCAACUGGUGGAUAAGGCACUUUUGGUGGUGGAUAAGUGUCAUGAGCUGCAAGAGAAGAAGAGGAAGUUCAACUCCCAAAUACGAUCCAGCAGCAAUGGUCGUCCCCGUCUUAUUCAACAACCUUGGCUGUGAGAUUUUCCAGUUGAUCAAUAUGGAAACCCUGGAUAGUAUCCUCUUGAACCACCUGAGUUUUAGGAGCUCCAUCUUAAUUUUCAAACCCUUGGACAAGCAAUUCCAGUGACUUCCCAAAUGAUACCAAGUGACCCAAGAACUCUAAUUAAGAAGGCUUGUUUCUGUUGUAAGAAAGAAGGUCAUUUAAUUGGACAAUGCUCAAAGAAGCUCCUACAACUACUUGGUAAGAAAAACUAGAAGGAAGCCCAAGUGCAAACUCUAUUAAGCAAUGGCAAUCAGGUCCCUGUUUUAGGAAAUUGGCUACAGUCAAACUACGAGCAAGGCAAGGUGAACCAUAUAACUAUUGAUAGUGCUCGAAGUGCUACAGAUGUGGUGCUUGGAACAUUCCUAGUUAACUCUACUCCAACAGUAGCUCUCUUUGAUUCCGAUGCAUCACAUGCUUUUGUUAGUAAAUAGUAUGUUGCAAAUGAAGGUUUGGUCACACUCUCUUUGAGACAACCCAUGCUAGUGGAUUCCCCUGGGAAACAGAUGAAGGCAAAGCACAUAUGCCCAAGAGCCAACAUAAACAUAAAUAGGGUAGACUUUCCAGCUGAUCGUGUAGUGUUGGAAACAACCAACAUUGAUGUCACCCUUGGAAUUGGGUGGCUGAGCGCUUUUGAUGGAGUUGUUCAAUGUGCUCAAGGAUCAGUGCUGCUUACAAGUCCACAAGGGGAAAGAAUCGAGUAUGAGUCUACACUACCAUCAGCAACACAUUGUGUGAUUAAUCAGGUAAAGGUUACUCCCUUCAAGAAAUUAAAGUGGUGUGUGAGUUUCCAGAUGAGUUACCAGGCAUGCCAUCACCCCGAGAAAUGGAGUUUGUUAUUGAUCUUAUACCUGGUACUACACCUAUUUUCAGGAGGCCAUAUAGAAUGUCUGUUGAGCAAUUAAGAUAAUUAAAGCAACAAAUAGAUGAAUUAUUGGAAAAACAGUUUAUUCAUCCUAGUUCAUCACCAUGGGGAGCACCAGUAAUUUUUGUACCAAAGAAGGAUGGUACGCAGAGAAUGUGUGUGGACUACAGAUCACUCAAUGAGGUAACCAUUAAGAACAAGUAUCCAUUGCCCCGCAUUGAGGAUUUGUUUGAUCAGAUCAGAUGGGUCAAUGAUGAGGACACCACAAGUACAUCUACACCAGCAGCACCUCAGGCGCCUACAGUUGAUCAUCCAGUUGGGCCAAUCACUCGGGCCUGUGCGAGAGAAUUAAACUUCAUCAUGCUGUUAAGGAACAAAGGCCCAGCGGAAUAAGAAGAUGGCCCAACAGGGCAGCCCAGGUGGGGCGCCUAGGGUUGGGAGCCGCGGCACUCCCCCUGGUUGCGCGUGCCCCCCUCCUGCCGUGGCGCCUCCUCCGGACUCUAGGGGCUGCGCCCCCUUUAUUUAGUCGAAGUCCCUUUUGUUUACAACUUGAGUUUUAUUUUACAUAUAGCUUUAGCUACUCUCGAACACGCGACGCGCUGUCCUUGUGUGAUUCCGAACUCCACCUUCGAGUGAUAUUGAGAUUGCUCGCAUCUUUUUGUUCUUUGUUUUUCGAUUGCGUGCAGGAAACGAUCUUCGUGAUCAGGCUGAUCUCGCACUGGCGAGGUUGGUAACCAUCGGGAGUUGGUUCAGUGAUUGCAUUGGCGCUUCGGGUUCGCUCGUCGUAGUCGGAUCGUGAGGGUCUACUUCCACCAAAUCGAAGUUAUCUCCACUCACCGAAAGAUCGGGCACUCCGCCUCUAUCAAGUGGUAUCAGCUUUCUAGGUUGAUCGGUGAGUUUUAACGAGUGCUUUUCCCUUACUACAGUCCACAAAAACCAAAACAACUUUUUUUUUUCAAGUUAGAUCCUUGUCCCAGCAACCGUUUAGCCUCGUACAUUCUUUCAAUAAGUGUCUUUGUUGAAUUUGUGUGCUUACUCGUUCAAUUGUUGCUGGUUACUUGUGUUUAAUCUCUUGUUUCUCAUUUUUCUUCUAACCCUAGUUUUCGCCGCCGCCGUUCCGCUGCUCGCCAAUCCUACCAUGCCGCGCCCACCGUCCCCCCUCGCGCUGUCCCCUCGCGCGAACACCCCCCAACCCUCAUGCUGCACCCCCUUGUCGCGACCAGACAACCGCGCCGCGCCAUCCCACCCCUCUGAUCUCCCCCUCCCCUGUCAAAAAAAAGAUAGAAAGCAAUCAAAAAAAAAGGAAAGAAGCAAAAAAAAACCAACAGGGAGAAGGAUGGUGAUCCGGUUUGGUUCGGUGGAAACUCCCCUUGCACGCGCCGUGAACCCCCCUGGGUCGCGACCCUCCAGGGCAACUCCGCACCCCCCCUCCCCACGCAUACCGUGCCCUUCCCCACGCACCCCGUGCCAGCUUUUCAUAUCUGUAUCUCUCUUUCUUUUUACCGGAAUACCCCUGUACUUUCGGAAAAAGUGUGUGCCGCAAUUUGCUGUUUGAGAUCCUCUGUGUUCAUAUUAUCGGUUUUGAGGACUCCUGAAGAAAAAAAAAAUCAAAAAAAACAUCCGAAAAACAGCUUUUUGUUGCGCCCUCUCCACCUUUGCCACCUUCCUUGUUCCACUUUCGCACUUGUUUCCAGCAGUGUUUGUUUCGUGUUUAGCACAAUAAUUCAACUUUGCAUUAUUGUUUGAUUGUGCUAAUCCUUGACUUGAGUGCAGCCUACCCAGAACACCACAUAGUUCUACGACGAGCUGACUUUGUUUCCAGGCAAUCGCUGCUCCAAUCUUUCGAGAGUUUCUCCGGUUGGCUGCGGGUCACCCCUGUGUGCUAGGUAAGAACGGAUAAGACAUUGAUAACAGCACUAGUGUGAGCGCCUUGUGAGCCGUUACACCCCUAUUUUGGCGUCGGUUUUGUGUUUGCGCUAACCAUGGCAGGUGAGGAUGAUAAGCAGGAUGAACAGCUGUAGGACAUGCGGACACAGAUUGAUGGACUUGCCGCAGACAUCAAGACGAUGCAUGAACGGAUGGAUUCCACGGUCACUACAUCGAACGAGCGGUUUGAUCAGCUCAACCUCGUGCAGACAACCACCAAGACCAUGCUCGACACCAUCGUGUCACGCCUCGAUGCAUUGAACACGAUGGUCACAGAUUUCCAGAAGGAUUACGGUGGUGACACGGAGCAUGACGGUGGAGACCGUCGAGGCCGUGCUCACCGUGUGCCACGCCAUCUUGGUAAUGAUUCUUUUGCUAAGAUAAAAUUUAAAAUUCCAUCUUUUAAUGGCAAAUAUGAUCCUGCUGCAUAUCUUGAUUGGGAAUUAGAAGUCGAACAGAAAUUUACAUGCCAUGAUAUUCCUACUAGUUCUCAAGUUAAAGCUGCUAUUAGUGAAUUUACUGAUUUUGCUUUAAUUUGGUGGCAUGAAUAUAAACAAAAACAUCCCACUACAGCUCCAACCACAUGGGAUCAAUUAAAAGCUGCUAUGCAACACAGAUUUGUACCUUCUUAUUAUGCCCACGAUUUGCUUAAUAAAAUGCAACGUUUUCAGCAAGGUUCACAAUCUGUAGAGGACUAUUACUAGGAAUUGCAAAAAGGCAUGAUUCGUUGUGGGUUAGUUGAGGAAAAUGACGCUGCUAUGGCACGUUUUUGUGGUGGUUUAAACCAUGAAAUUUAGGAUAUACUUGAUUAUAAGGAGUAUUAUGAUAUGACCACAUUAUUUAAAUUUGCUUGCAAAGCUGAACGUGCAAUGCAGGGAUGCCGCUCGAAGCCAUAUUCUAACUCUUUUGCAGGACGAAGCUCAACAUCCGGUUCAGCACCCGCGCCCCCUGGACCGUCCACGCCCGCCACUACACCGCGUGAGCGGGCAGCCACUUCUGCAGGUGCUCCCCCGUCCACAGGUGUAGCGCCUUCCACAGGCCGCACACGGGAUAUUCAGUGCCAUCGUUGCAGAGGAUUUGGCCAUGUGUUUCGGGACUGUCCGAACAAGCGUACCUUGCUCAUUCGUGAUAAUGUAUUCUUCCGCUAGUGAUUCUGAAGAUAUUCAACAUGCUAUGCUUGCCACUGACCUUGCAGCAAAAGCGGAAGUACAUGUCAACCCGGGCGAUGCCGAUAGGUAUGAAAGUCUUGUUGUGCAGCGUGUUCUUAGUACACAGGUCACUCCGCCCGAGAAGAAUCAGCGACACACUCUUUUCCAUACCAAGGGCGUUGUGCAGGAGCAGUCGAUUCGCAUCAUCAUCGACAGCGGCAGCUGCAACAAUUUGGCGAGUACCGCGCUGGUUGAAAAGUUGUCUUUACCCACUCGUAAGCAUCCAAAUCCAUAUCACAUUCAAUGGCUUAAUGAUGGUGGGAAAAUUAGAAUUACUCGAUCGGUCCGUGUUCCUUUCUCCAUGGGUGCUUAUUCUGAUUUUGUCGAUUGUGAUGUUAUUCCCAUGGAAGCAUGCUCUCUGUUACUUGGGCGACCUUGGCAAUAUGAUACUGAUAGCUUGCAUCAUGGUCGUUCAAAUCACUAUUCUUUCAUGUUUAAGGGUUAGAAAAUAAUUAUACAUCCAAUGACACCUGAACAAAUUCUUAAAGAUGAUCUUGCUAGAGCUGCUAAAACUGCUAAACAACUUGAACCAUCGACCUCUGUUAAUUCUGAAAUCAAGUUGAAUGCUCCUGUUUUGCUUGCUACACGUGCUGAUUUUGAUGAGUUACGCGAUGCUCCUUUGCCAUGCUAUGCCCUUAUAUGCUCUAGUGUGUUUGUUUCACUUGAUGAUGCACCAUCUUUGGAUAUUCCCCCUGCGGUUGCUAACAUUUUGCAGGAGUACACUGAUGUCUUUCCAAAAGAUUUGCCACCAGGACUCCCACCACUUCGUGGCAUUGAGCACCAGAUCGACCUCAUUCCCGACGCACAGCUUCCGAACCGUGCACCGUACCAUACAAAUCCGGAUGAGACGAAGGAAAUCCAGCACCAGGUACAGGCAUUGCUUGACAAGGGUUAUAUUCGUGAGUCUCUUAGCCCUUGCUCCGUUCCCGUGUUACUUGUUCCAAAGAAAGAUGGCUCAUGGCGUAUGUGUGUAGACUGUCGUGCUAUUAAGAACAUUACCAUUCGCUACCGAUACCCUAUACCACGCCUUGAUGAUAUGCUAGAUGAGCUUAGUGGUGCCAUUAUUUUCACUAAGAUUUAUUUGCGUAGUGGCUACCAUCAGAUUCGCAUGAAAUUAGGUGAUGAAUGGAAAACAGCUUUUAAAAUGAAAUUUGGGUUAUAUGAAUGGUUGGUUAUGCCGUUUGGUUUGACAAAUGCUCCUAGCACAUUUAUGCGUUUGAUGAAUGAAGUUCUGAGGCCCUUCAUAGGAUUGUUUGUAGUUGUCUAUUUUGAUGAUAUCCUCAUUUACAGCAAGUCUAUGGAAGAGCAUUUAGAACAUUUGCGUGCUAUUUUUGAUGUGUUGCGUGCGGCCCAUUUAUUUUCUAACAUCGAAAAAUGCAUGUUUUGCACACAACGUGUCUCGUUUCUUGGCUAUGUUGUUACUCCACAGGGCAUUGAGGUGGAUAGCAGCAAGAUCGAUGCCAUUCGGGCGUGGCCUACACCGACGAUGGUCACACAAAUUCGAAGCUUUCUUAGCCUUGCAGGUUUCUACCGCAGGUUUGUUCGUGAUUUUAGCUCCAUUGCAGCGCCUCUACAUGAGCUUACAAAGAAGGAUGUCCCCUUUGCUUGGAGUGAUUCGCAAGAGGUUGCGUUCAGCACCUUGAAAGAUAAGUUAACCAAUGCUCCUCUCUUGCAGUUGCCUGAUUUUACUAAAGUGUUUGAGCUUGAAUGCGAUGCUAGCGGUAUUGGGCUAGGUGCUAUUUUGUUACAAGAAGGAAAACCGGUUGCUUACUUUAGUGAGAAAUUAAGUGGUGCUAGCUUGAAUUAUUCUACUUAUGAUAAGGAGCUUUAUGCUUUAGUGCGCACUUUGCAUACUUGGCAGCACUACCUUUGGCAUCGCGAGUUUAUAAUUCAUUCUGAUCAUGAGGCUUUAAAACAUAUUCGUACCCAGACAAAUCUGAACCGUCGUCAUGCUAAAUGGGUAGAAUUCAUUGAGUGUUUCUCUUACAUUAUUAAAGAAAAGAGCAGGAAGGAAAAUGUCAUUGCUGAUGCUUUGUCUCGUCGCUAUACCAUGCUGUCACAGUUAGAUUUUAAAAUCUUUGGCUUGCAAACUGUGAAGGAUCAAUAUGUGGACGAUGCUGAUUUUAAAGAUGCUUGCACCCAUUGUAUUCAUGGCAAACCAUGGGGCAAAUUUCUCAUGGGGCACUUUGGCGUCUACAAGACGCAUGAAGUGCUGGCUGCCCACUUCUUUUGGCCCCGGAUGCGCGUUGAUGUUGAGCGCCUUGUUGCACGCUGCACUACUUGCCAGAAAGCUAAGUCACGAUUGAACAACCAUGGUUUGUACAUGCCUUUGCCUAUUCCUACUUCCCCUUGGCUUGAUAUUUCUAUGGACUUUGUUUUGGGAUUGCCUAGAACUAAGAAGGGGAGGGACAGUACUUUUGUGGUUGUUGAUCGUUUCUCCAAAAUGGCUCAUUUUAUACCUUGUCAUAAGACUGAUGAUGCUAGCAAUGUUGCUGAAUUGUUCUUUAGCGAGAUUAUUCGUUUGCAUGGUAUUCCAAAUACAAUAGUCUCUGAUCGUGAUGCUAAGUUUCUCAGUCAUUUUUGGAGAUCACUGUGGAAUAAAAUGGGAACUAAAUUGCUGUUUAGCACCACUUGUCACCCUUAGACUGAUGGACAAACUGAGGUGGUUAAUCGAACUUUGUCAACCAUGCUUAGGGCUGUUUUAGAUAAACACUUGAAACGUUUGGAAGAUUGCUUGCCUCAUGUUGAGUUUGCUUAUAAUCAUGCAACACACUCUUCUACAAAGAUGUGUCCCUUUCAGGUUGUUUAUGGUUAUAUUCCUCGGGCGCCUAUUGAUUUGUUUGUGCUUGAUACUGAGGAUGCCCCACACAUAGAUGUCGCUGCCCAUGUUGAUCAAAUGAUUAGCUUGCAUGAGCAAACUCAACAAAACAUUGCUGCUGCUAAUGCUAAAUAUCAAGUUGCGGGUAGUAAAGGGAGAAAACAUGUUACUUUUGAACCGGGUGAUCUGGUUUGGUUGCAUUUGAGAAAGGAUCGUUUUCCUACUUUACAUCGUUCUAAAUUGAUGCCACGUGCUGCUGGUCCUUUUAAAGUGCUAACCAAGAUUAAUGAUAAUGCUUAUAUCCUUGACCUGCCUGCGGAGUUUGGUGUUUCCACGAGUUUUAAUGCUGCAAAUUUGGAACCGUAUGCGGGUGAAGAUGAGGAGUUGCCGUCGAGGACGACUUCAAUUCAAGAAGGGGAGGAUGAUGAGGACACCACGAGUACAUCUACACCAGCAGCACCUCAGGCGCCUCCAGUUGCUCCUCCACCUCAGGCGCCUACAGUUGAUCAUCCAGUUGGGCCAAUCACUCGGGCCCGUGCGAGAGAAUUAAACUUCAUCAUGCUGUUAAGGAACGAAGGCCUAGCGGAAUAAGAAGAUGGCCCAACAAGGCAGCCCAGGUGGGGCGCCUAGGGUUGGGAGCCACGGCCCUCCCCCUGGUCGCGCACGCCCCCCCUCCUGCCGUGGUGCCUCCUCCGGACUCCAGGGGCUGCGCCCCCUUUAUUUAGUCGGAGUCCCUUUUGUUUACAACUUGAUUUUUGUUUUACAUAUAGCUUUAGCUACUCUCGAACACGUGCAAAUACGCGUUGUCCUCGUGUGAUUCAGAACUCCACCUUCGAGUGAUAUUGAGAUUGCUCGCGUCUUUUUCUUGUUCAUUUUUUGAUUGCGUCCAGGAAACGAUCUUCGUGAUCAGGCUGAUCUCACACUAGUGAGGUUGGUAACCAUCAGGAGUUGGUUCAGGGAUUGCAUUGGCGCUUCGGGUUCGCUCGUCGUAGUCGGAUCAUGAGGGUCUACUUCCACCAAAUCGAAGUUAUCUCCACUCACCGAAAGAUCGGGCACUCCGCCUCUAUCAGUCAAGGUAUUCUCCAAGAUUGACUUGCGUUCGGAUUAUCAUCAGGUGAAGAUCAGGCCGUCUGAGAUUCCUAGGACUACUUUCACCACUAGAUAUGGACUGUAUGAGUAUACGGUUAUGUCUUUUGGGUUGACAAAUGCUCCAGCUUACUUUAUGUAUCUGAUGAACAAGGUGUUUAUGGAGUAUCUUGAUAAGUUCAUUGUGUCAUUUAUUGAUGAUAUGCUGAUUUAUUCCAAGAAUGAGGAAGAACAUGAGGAGCAUUUGAGGUUAGUGCUUCAGAAGUUGAGGGAACAUCAGUUGUAUGCAAAAUUCAGUAAGUGUGAACUCUGGUUGAAGGAGGUUUUUUUCCUUGGUCAUAUUAUCACCAACAGUGGGAUUGCAGUGGAUCCAAGCAAAGUCAGGGAUGUUCUGAAGUGGAUGCCACCGCAGACAGUUAUGGAAGUUAGAAGUUUUCUUGGGCUUGUCGGAUACUACCGUCGGUUCAUUGAAGGAUUCUCCAAGAUAGUGAAACCUCUUAUCUCACUAUUAGAGAAGGGAAAAGAAUUCAAUUGGACUGAAGCCGAUCAAGUCAACUUUGAAGAGUUGAAGAAGAGAUUGACUACAACCCCAGUUCUAGUAAUGCCUGACCUAUAGAAGAACUUUGAUAUCUAUUGUGAUGCCUCUCGACAAGGCUUAGGCUGUGUUCUCAUGCAGGAGACACAUGUCAUAGCCUAUGCAUCCCGACAGUUGAGGAAACAUGAGCAGAAUUAUCCUACUGAUAAUUUGGAGUUAGUCGUAGUUGUGCAUGCUUUGAAAAUUUGGAGGCACUAUGUCCUUGGAACUAAAUGUCAGAUUUAUACUGAUCACAAGAGUCUGAAAUACACCUUCACUCAGAAGGACCUUAAUCUAAGAAAACGACGUUGGUUAGAGCUCAUCAAUGACUAUGACCUAGAAAUUUACUAUCACCCUGGUAGAGCUAACAUGGUUGCAGAUGCUUUGAGUCGGAAGGGUCAAGCUAAACUGGCCUUAGCAUUUCAGUUGCCUAAAGAAUUGAUGAGGGAAUUUGAGAGGCUUAACUUGAGUAUAGUUGCUCAUACUGAAGGAGUAACUAUGGAAGUGGAGUCGACUCUAGAGCAAGAGAUACAAAAAGGACAACUUGAGGAUGCCAAGAUUAGGGAUAUUAAGAAGACGGUGAAGGAAGGAAAAGCCUCAGAUUUCACUAAGGAUGCUCAGGGAACUUUAUGGAUUGAAGGGAGAAUUUGUGUACUAGAUGUGGGAAAUCUUCGAGAGACGAUCUUGAAAAAAGCUCAUGAUUCAGCUUAUUGUAUUCACCCUAGGAGCACCAAGAUGUAUCAUGAUAUUAAGCAAUGGUAUUGGUGGCCCGGAAUGAAGAGAGAUGUAGCUACACAUGUAGCACUUUGCGACAUAUGCCAAAGGGUCAAAGCUGAGCACCAAAGGCCAGCAGGAUUGCUUUAGUCAUUAAAGGUGCCUGAAUGGAAAUGGGAAAAUAUCGGUAUGGACUUUAUAGUCGGAUUGCCCUGUACCCAAGUUGGUUACGACUCAAUUUGGGUGAUUGUGGAUAGGUUGACGUAGCACACUUCAUAGCUGUGAAGACUACCCAUUCAGGAGCAAGAUUGGCAGAGUUGUAUAUGUCAGCGAUUGUGUGUUUGCAUGGCAUACCCAAGAAGAUAGUGUCCGAUAGAGGUACUCAGUUCACAUCCCACUUCAGGCAAAAGUUGCAUGAAUCUCUGGGUACAAGGUUAAAUUUCAGUUCAGCUUAUCAUCCUCAGAUAGAUGGACAGACUGAGAGAACAAAUCAGAUACUGAAGGAUAUGUUGAGAGCGUGUGUAUUAAAGCAUGGAGGCAAAUAGGACAAGAGUUUUCCCUAUGCAGAGUUCUCUUAUAAUAACAGCUAUCAAGCCAGUCUCAAUAUGUCGCCGUUUGAAGCUUUAUAUGGGAGAAAAUGCAGAACCCCUCUCUAUUGGAGUGAGAUAGGAGAGAGUCAAUUAUUUGGGCCAGAGAUCAUUCAAGAAGUCGAAAGGCAGGUCUAAAUCAUCAGGGAGAACUUAAGGACAGCCCAAUCUCAGCAGAAAAGUUAUGUCGACACCAUGAGAAGUGAAUUAACCUUGGAGGAAGGUGAUUAUGUGUAUCUCGAAGUAUCGCCCAUCAGGGGUAUGCACAGAUUUAAGGUUAAAGGGAAGUUGUCACCUCGCUUCAUUGGACCUUUCAAAAUUCUUGAGAGAGUGGGACAGGUAGCUUAUCGAUUGGAGUUACCUAAUUCAGAUGUGCAUGAUGUGUUCCUGUUGGCGCUAGAAAUCACUGAUUGAAUUCCCAGCGUCAGACACACGACCCAGGAGAAUCUGCUUAACUCCUGUUCGGGUGAUCGCCCUUGUAUCUCGCCGCAUCUUCCAAUCUCUUCUUCUCAUUACGCCGAUUUUACUCGUGUCAAAAUCUGGCGUCAACACAUGCCCCCCAAUUUCAGAGUAAAACAUAGUCUUUACUUCGAAAUUCUUUUCAACUUCCCAUCCGAAACAGACGCCAUGAAAAUAUCCUUCCGUUUCGCGGUCUCCAACCUGAUGAUUGCAAUUUUUUUGAAACGGGCGCCCACGACAACCACUACUCCCGAAAAACUCAAAACGCCGGCGCGGUAAAAAUUCCGCUUUUACCCCUGCUCAGACCUUCUUUAAAUAUCAGCACAUCCCGUACUCCUUACGAGCUCACAUCCUUCUUCUCCAGCGCACAGGCUUUCUUCUUCCUCCAACACUUUCCUUAGUCCCCCAAUCCUCCAGCACCUCCUUCCUUUCGCAUUUCCUCCUACUUUACCAAUGGCGGCACCUUCAGGCACCUCACCAACGCGCGAAACUUCAGAAAUGGCGCCUCCGGCGGAGAUUCCAGUAGCGGUAGCGGCGGCUCCAUCGACAGAAGAAGGAGCUCCAUCGGCGAAAGUCGAAGCCUCAUCCGAGAUCCCAUUGGCAGCCUCAUCAUCCGCAGCUGCACCGGCGACUCCGCCGAUUACGAGGAGCUUCAUCCCGGAGGUUACUACUGAAACUUUCCCUUAUCAGUAAUGCAUUUUCCUUAGAUCUAUUUCUUACCCUCGCACCCCCUUUUCCUUUUUCGGCAGUUAGGCAUCGCAUCACCAUUCGUCUUACAGAAAGCCUCAGCCUUAUCUGCCUCGGGCCCAUGGGGAACCCAGAUCCAACCGACCUGAUUAACUUGGAAACCCAUAGGAUCCCCUUCAAACAAUCAACCAUGGACCUAGAUCACUGGUCGGGUACCUUUAGGUCUUGGCCAAACGAAACUCCUGGUUGGAGGGAAUGGUACCAGCGGAUAGCCGCCUCCAAGAAGCUCCAAUGGGACAAGCUCAAAAUUGACCAAUGCAUCGAUCUAUCCUUGUCCCAAAUGGAACGGAAUGAGCCGUUAGUGAUGGCAGCUUCUUACUUUUGGUCCGACGCUCUCAACGCAUUCCUGUUUGGACACGGACCCAUGACCCCCACAUUAGCCGAUGUAGUCUUGCUGACCGGCCUGGACAUCUCUUCUCCGGACACCCCUUUCCGCCUUAUAGCCAUAACAUCACAUCGGCUGGACACAAGAGGAAUCGGCGGGUGGAAAGGCUUCAUCAAAUGCAACAAAAGGGCUGGAUCUGUCGAGAACAGAGAGUAUACAGCCUUCGUGAUGAUGUGGCUAGAGAAGCACUUCUUCUGUGGGAGAGCAGCUGAUCCAUCUACCAAUACCCAAGCUCUGGCCGAAGCACUGUCAAUAGGGACUUCUGUUCCUCUUGGAAAACACUUACUGGGAGCAGUUUACCACAUGCUUCACCAAAUCGGCAUCAAGCUAUCCCAAGGGGAGCCGAUUGGAAACCCAGGUGGGCCCUGGUGGUUCAUUAAUUUAUGGCUGAACUUGUAUAUGAGCGAGAUCUCUCAGCAGCGAGUGGACAAUAUGACUUUCCCCAGCGUCGAAUCGGAAGAUAACCUUACUGUCCAAUGCUGGUGUAUGUCUUUCAGCGAAGCGGCAUCGGCCUUCUCUGGUUGCUCGUACUCUGCGACCAAGGUGGCCGAAUACUUCCGGUGUUUUUAUAACGGCUUCAAUGAAGAUGCAACCGUCUGGUUCCCUUAUCGGAGAGAUGACCCGAUCUUUGAACUCCCUUCUUGCUUCGACUCAACCACCGGCCGAUUCGACGAAGAUCUUACAGACGAGUUAAUUAAACUGGGGAUCUUACCGGCCAACUUCUUCUCAGGAAAAGAUGCCCCUACAUAUGAAUUCUACAACCCCUCUGUUGCAGCACAACAAUUUGGCAUGGGUCAACUGCCGAUUCAGGCAUACUUCAUCGGCCGAGCAAAAUUCAGAGAUGAGCUCACCAAGGGUCUUGACUAUAGUCGGCUGCGAGAUCAGAUACCAAACUCUAGUACCAUAGACUUGAAUGACUGGGUAGUAGCCCCCUUUGUUGUCCAACAAUUCGAGUUAUGGUGGGCCGAAUGGAAACAGUACCUGUUCUGCGCCUCUGCAUUGACAUACUGCAAUCUUUUGGAUCCAACCAACAUUGAUCCGAACGCCGAGGUAUUUUCCCCUGGCCGACCUUCAUUCCUUUAUUAAUGCAUUUAAAUAUGUACACUAACAUCUUGCUGUUCUUUCAGUCUAAAAACCGCGUUUCCCCAACACAUAGUCAGAGUGGCCGGCCGAUAGAGGAUCAUCACUCAUACACCAUCUUCCCCCUCAUCGGCUAUGAUGCCCCCUCCGUGGAUGUGAUUGCCGGCCGAUCGAAGCAGGCGCGGAAGAAGGUUACCAAGAAGACCAGUCAUCGAGUACGAACUCGUAUAGAACCGGCCGACCCCCCUAUGAUCACAUCGGCAGAAACUUUGGCUGCAUCGCCCCUUCCAGCUGCUGGAGAAGUGGAUACUCAAGUCAUCACGCAAUCUGGGGUGGCCGCUGCAUCAUUACUAGUGGAGGCUAUGCAGGUAAACUUAUUGUCUCAUCCUACCGAUUGCUAUCCUCAUACUGACCCAUCUUAUUUUAGACUGCACAAAUCACUCCUGUGGAUUUGCAACAAUCGGCAACAACCCAAUCGGUCAUCUUUCAGGAAGCCGGCCCGAGCAAAGCACCAAUCAUGGUGGAAUCUUCUACUCAUGACGAACCAAUGGAACCGGCCCCUGAAUCGAGGAUAACAACCUCCCGAACGCAGCUUGAAGAAAUUCGUUUUAAGGAGGUAAGAGACUUCUCCCCUUUACUUGGCCGAUUCGCUAUCAUCAUCGGCUAACUUAUUCUUCUUCUUGACUUACUAUUUUACAGGAACAGGACACCCCCAACAACAGCCUUUUCUCGUUUGCGGUCGCACUCUCCGAUGACGAGGAAGUCACCUCUCGCCAGGUCAACUUGAGCUCUGUUCCUGAUGACGUCCGUGCCAAACUCGCAAGCAUCCGAUCCCUUCUUCAAGAGGACAUCGGCCGAUUAGUAGAAGAUGCCUCCCCGAUUCGGCAACUCUUUGGUGACAUCAGCGGGCGAGUACCAGAAGAAGCGGAAGAGGCCUUGGCGCCGGCCGCGUAUAUCGAGUCAAUGAGGAUUCCGGUCUUUAGGGCCCUGCGCCAUAUGGCUGACCGCGCCAAGUUGACCAAGACCCGUGACGAAGAGCAUACGUACAAGCGCCAAGCUCAAGAAGUGCAUCAACGGAUUCACUCUCUCGAGGACUCUCGCUCGGGGAUCGUCGGCACGAUAGAUCGCCUCAAACGCCGAAGGGCAGAGCUUGCCAAGGAGAUGGAGCAGGUGACUAAAGCAAUAGACGCCGAAGAGAAGAGGCUUCAAGAACUCCCUUCCGUCAUCGCCGAUCUGAGACGGGAGAGGUAGCACCUGGCUCACGAAGCCCUCAAACUCCACCGCAAUAUGUCAGAAGUCCCCGGAUCGGCAGAAGAUGACCAACGCGUCCUGGACUCUGCCGAUCAGAUCCAGCACCGAGCGAUCGCAACUAUCGAUGCCCUUCUGGGUGACAUGUAAAAGUACUGGCAGUUCUUGUACAUACAUUUAAUGCCUCCUUUGACCGUCCUUCGUGGUGCCUCCUUUAUUUAUUACCUUUUUCACUUCCGAUGGGACGCGACUUACCAAACAUUCACACCUUCCUUUCUUAUAAACGCCGGCCUAGGUCCCUGUUGGGAUACGAGGUAGGCUACGCUAGCGCAAAUCAAAAUUUCUACCGCGUAUAACCAGGAAGAACUGCCGUAUAAGGAUCACGGGAUUACCACUCGACGCACUACUGGUGCGGAAGAUGUAGAUAUGCGUCGAUGCAGUGAAGACGAUCACGUAGUCGUACGUAGUCGAUCAACAUAGUCGUACGUAGUCGAUCAUGUCCAGCAGCUCCUCAGCAGCUCGUCCACGUGCAGCAAGAUCGCCUCCGGUACCGCGGCUCGUCGUCGGCUCGUCGUUGCUCGUCGGCGGCUCGUCGGCGGCUCGUCAAGUGCUGCAGGUGCAAUACCUCCAAGGUAUCCACACGUGCAGGGAGGAAGCAUCGCAAGCCAGACUGCUAGAUCCGCGAGUUGCAACAGGCGAGGGCGUGGGAGGCGCGGCAGGUGUGUUUCGCCAAAAAGGUGUAAACCCUAGGGCGCCCCCACCCCUCUAUUUAUAGAGGUUCCUGACGGGCCUCUGGAUCCGAGGCCCAUUAGUACUUCUAAACCUAAUCUAACUCGGAUCAGAUCCGAAUUGGGCUUCCAGCCUCUUAAGUGUGUGACCCUAUGGGUUCGGAUACGUAUAGACAUGGCCCGAGUACUCCUACUCGGCCCAAUAGUCAGUAGCGGCCUCUAGCAAGACGUGCCAACUCCUAUACGUACACGAAGAUCAUAUCAGACGAACCAUCACAACAUAAUAUACAUGCUAUUCCCUUUGCCUCACGAUAUUUGGUCUAGCUUCAAGCCGACCGCUCUUUCUCGAUCCUAUGAUUCGGAAUCCCUUUGUAGGUUAACUCUUAACCGUACGUAGCAUGGCCAUGCAUUUUCGGAUCCGAUCACUCGAGGGGCCCAGAGAUAUCACUCUCAAUCAGAGAGGGGCAAAUCCCAUCUUGAUUGAUCAUGUCUCAUAGCAUGCUUCUUGACAAACCCGAAAGCUACCUUUAUAACUACCCUGUUACGGCGUAGCGUUUGAUAGCCCCUAAGUAUGUCGAUCCACAUCUAGAAUACAUGCGACAAUCUCAGGUCUAAGGACAAAGCGUAUAUGUUGUUUUAAAGAGAGAACUACUUCUCGUGUUGGGUCAGUCCUAACACAUGUCUCCACAUGUGUCCACAUUAUUAGUUCAACAUCUCCAUGUCCAUGACUUGUGAAACAUAGUCAUCAACUAAUACAUGUGCUAGUCUAAUAUUCAUGUGUGUCAUCACAUGAACUCCGACUAGGGACAACUUUAGAAUAACCAUACAAGUAAAGAGUUUCACAUACAAUUCACAUAAUUGCAAAUCAAUUCAAGUAGCCUUUAAUGGAUAUUCAAUGAACAUAAUAUACAAAUCAUGGAUACAAAUGGAAUAUCAUCAUCUCUAUGAUUGCCUCUAGGGCAUACCUCCAACAGUCCCUGUUCUGAGAGCACCUGUCUAGCUCGGCUUCAUUUUCCCAACCUGUUUUCGUCGGUGCGACUUUCAGUCAUGUCUUCUUCAUCCUCUUUCUCUUCUUCUAUUAAUCAGGUGAAAGUUUUUCCUUCAUCCUUUUUCUUAGUUUAGAUCUUUUGAAGGGAAUCACCUUUUUGAUCGUUGCUUUCCACAGACACGGCGCCUUAGCCCUUAACUCGAACAAGUCAUCGAACUCAUGCACUCCGACGGACCGUUGUCACAAGAAGACAAGGACUUAAUCAGGGCUCAUCGUGACGAACUCCAAGAGCACAUCCCUGCUGACAUCCGACGGAUUUGGGAUUUUUUGGACGGCAACGCCCGCCGGCGACCCCAAGCCGACAGAAGUCAUCUGUUUCCUCAAUGAAUCAUCCUUGAAGAUGCAGCGGCAGGAACAUCACGCCCGGCAAUGGACCGGAGCCACCCUCUCCCCCGUCAAGUCGAAGCGGAGGCUGCGGUGAUAGAGAUAGAAGAAGAGUACAUCCGUCUUCUGAUAGAACUAGGUCGGGCUGAGAGAGAGCGUAAGAAAAAGCGUGAUUAAUUAUUUUUUGUUCUAUGGGAGACUUGUACCUUGUCGGCCGUGUAACCCUCCGUCCGUACUGAAUGAAAUAUAUCGGCCGAUUUGGACGAUUACGUGUUUCCUCUAGACGAAUUCUUUUGUAUCGGCUGUGUGUUGUUCAUCGUGGUCGAUCCUUAUGCUCCGACCCAUAUACUAGGGUAGUACCUUUUCAAGUAUCUUCCGUUCAGAGCCCUAGUAAACUCUUCUCCUUCGAUUGUUUCCAAAAUAUAAGCGUUUCCUGGAGCACAUCUGCCGAUUUUGUACGACCCUUCCCAUGUAGGGGACCACUUACCGAAUUUAGGAUCUUUCGACCCAAUCGGCAACACUAACUUCCAAACCAGGUCUCCCGGAGAGAAUUGUUUGACUUUGACCUUCUUAUCAUACCAUCUGGCCACUUUCUUCUUAUUUUCCUUGAUGCUUAUCAAAGCUCUCAAUCGUUGCCCAGCCUAGUCAUCAAGCUCCCUUUUCAUGAGUGAGGAGUAGUCGUCGGCCGUCAGCUGGUCCUGGAGCGACGUGCGUCUCGACCCCGCCCUCAAUUCCCAUGGUAGUACUGCAUCGUGACCGUACACCAACUGAUAAGGGGACAACUUGGUGGCCCCAUGACAAGCCAUCCUGUAUGCCCAUAGGGCUUCAGUCAAACAUAGAUGCCAUUUUUUCAGCUGCUCCUCUAUCUUCCUCUUGAUUAACUUUAUUAUCCCUUUGUUGGAGGAUUCGGCCUGGCCAUUAGCUUGGGCAUAAUAUGGAGAGGAAUUUAACAACUUGAUUCCCAUAUCGGCCGUGAACUCCUCGAAUUCUCUUGAUGUGAACAUUGUCCCUUGAUCGGUUGUGAUAGUCUGGGGGAUGCCAAAACGGUAGACGAUAUGGUCUCUUACGAAGUUGACCAUAGCAGCCGAUGUUACGGCCCUUAACGGAAUUGCCUCCACCCAUUUGGUGAAAUAAUCAGUGGCCACCAGAAUGAACUUGUGCCCUUUGCUUGACGCAGGAUAAAUUUGGCCGAUGAGGUCUAUUCCCCAUCCUCUGAACGGCCAUGGUUUGAUAAUGGGAUUCAUGGCCGAUGCGGGCGCACGUUGGACAUUCCCGAAUUUCUGACAAUCCUGGCAUCCCUUAUAAUAUUUGAAGCAAUCUUCGAGGAUCGUGGCCAGUAAUACCCAUUAUUCCUGAUCAUCCAUUUCAUCUUAUGUGCCGAUUGGUGGGCUCCACAUACUCCUUCAUGGAUUUCUCCCAUCAGAGUCUUAGCCUCCUUUGUUCCCAGACACUUGAGUAGGACGCCAUCAAUUGUUCGGUAGAACAAGUCGUCUUCCAGUAAUACGUAUUUGGUAGCAUGGAAACGCACCCGCCGAUCCACUUUCAUAGAUGGAUCUUUCAGGUAAUCGGCAAUCUCUUUUCGCCAGUCAUCGGCUACGAGUUCUAGAGCCAUAGCGCCUUGAAUCGGCCGAUACCCAGAUGCGUGUUGGGCGAGCUUGUUGGCAUCCUCGUUGUGAUUCCUUGGGAUGUGUUCAAUAACUGCCGACUUGAAUUCUUUCAGAAGUUGCAGGCAAUCUUCAUAAUAAAUCCUCAACACAUCGUCCUUACAUUCGGACUUCCCAGUCAAUUGAUCCACAAUAAGCAUGGAAUCUCCAAAAACUUCGACAGAAUCGGCCUUGACUUCUCUAAGCAAUUGUAACCCCUGCAGUACAGCUUGGUACUCUGCUUGAUUGUUAGUGGCGGAUGCUUCUAUCGGCAGAGAAAAAUCAUAGCUUGCCCCCCGAGGCGAUAUGAGGAUGAUGCCGAUUCCUGAUCCGGCCCCACAUGACGAUCCAUCAAAGUAUAAGGUCCAAGGUACUGGUUCCACGAAGGUAGUCUCUGGUCCGCAGUGUUGGGCAACGAAAUCGGCCAUGACCUGACCUUUAACGGCUUUUGCCGAUUCAUAUCGAAGGUCAAACUCUGACAAAGCCAAGAUCCAUUUGCCGAUUCGUCCUUUCAAAAUCGGCAGUGACAGCAUGUAUUUUACCACGUCGUCCUUGCACACGACCACACAUUCCGCCAAUAGCAAAUAGUGCCUGAGUUUGGUACAUGAGAAGUAAAGGCAUAGGCACAACCGUUCCACUGGAGGAUACCUUGUUUCGGCGUCCAGAAGUCUUCUACUGACAUAAUAAAUUACCCGUUCCUUUCCUUCAAACUCCUAGACCAGAGCCGACCCAAUAGCUCGUUCAUCGGCUGAUAAAUAUAGUUUAAACGGCUUACCAGUUUGAGGAGGGACCAAUACCGGUGGUGAGACCAAGUACUGCUUGAUAUCUUCCAAAGCCUUGCGUUGCUCUUCCCCCCAUAUGAACUCCUGGUCGGGCUUCAACUUUAAUAAUGGUGUGAAGGCUUGGAUUCGCCCAGAUAGAUUAGAUAUGAACCUCCUGAUGAAAUUCACCUUGCCGAUUAGAGAUUGCAGCUCAGUUUUAUUCUGUGGGGCCACGAUUUUGUUGAUGGCCGCUAUGGUCUUCUGAUUGAUUUCUAUUCCCCGCUCGUGCACCAUGAAUCCUAAGAAUUGUCUGGCGGAUACGCCGAAGGCACACUUAUUCGGGUUCAUCUUCAGCCCAUGUUUCUUAGUGCAUUCCAACACCCGUCGUAAAUCGGCCAGAUGCUCCUGGUGUCCUUUUGACUUGACUACAACGUCGUCGAUGUAGAUCUCUACUAGUAUGCCGAUAAGUUUGUGAAAUAUGUAGUUCAUGGCUCUCUGAUACAUAGCGUCGGCGUUUUUCAAGCUGAAAGUCAUUACCACCCACUCGAAUAAGCCAAGGUGACCUGGGCAUUUGAAGGUCGUUUUGGGUAUGUCUUCUUCGGCCAUAAGUAUCUGGUUGUACCUAGCGUUUCCAUCCAUGAAACUAAUAACCUUGUAUCCCGCGGCGGCAUCUAUCAGCACAUCGGCCGUUGGCAUGGGGUAUCCGUCCAUUGGUGUGGCCUGAUUAAGGUUCCUGAAAUCGACGCAUAUGCGUAGCUUUCCGUUCUUCUUGUAUACUGGUACAAUGUUGGAGAUCCAUUCGGCAUAACGGCAUUGCCGAAUAAAUUUUGCUUCGAUUAGCCGCGUUAUUUCGGCUUUUAUAUCUGGUAGGAUUUUGGGAUUGCACCGUCGUGCAGGCUGUUGAUACGGCCGAUACCCUGGUUUUAUGGGUAGCCGAUGUUCAACGAUAGAUCGGUCUAAUCCGGGCAUCUCAUGAUACUCCCAAGCAAAGCAAUCCUUAAAUUCUCUUAACAAACUUGUCAGUUUACAUUUGUAUUCCGGAUCUAAAUUUGCACUAAUAUAUGUUGGCCUUGGUUUGGUGCCAUCGCCUAAGUAUAUCAUUUCUAAUGAAUCGGUCGACGUGAACCCGUGUCCCAGCUUCCCAUCUUCUCGGGCGAACUGAUCCAUUUAAUCUGAGUCUUCGGAGCCGACUGCUCGGAUCGGCUAUAGGCCAAAAUCGGACACCUUUAAGAAGUCAGUAUCCCAUACUCUCCCGGAUAUGCACUUGACGGUUUCGCAGCUCCACUGCUGCGUGUCGGCUGCUACGAUGUUGUAUACGGAAUCGGCGGUGACCACCUCGAUGUUGUCGCCGACCCAUUGUACGAGGCAUUGAUGCAUUGUAGAUGGGAUACAACAAUUUGCAUGUAUCCAGUCUCGGCCGAGUAGCAUGUUGUAGGACCCCUUGCCAUUAAUAAUAAAGAAAGUAGUAGGAAGGGUCUUACUGCCGAUGGUGAGGUCGACACAGAGGGCGCCGCGAGCGGGGGAUACGUUGCCUCGAAGUCCUUGAGCAUCAUAUCUGUCUUGGUCAGGUCAUCAUCGCUCUUCCCAAGCUUCCGGAGCACGGCGAACGGCAUGAUGUUGACUGCAGCUCCUCCGUCUACCAAUAAUCUGGUAAGGGGUCGGCCGUUGACAUGCCCUUUAAGAAACAACGCUUUCAGGUGUUGCCGUUUGUCAUCUUCGGGCUUCUCGAAUGUGGCGGUCAUUGGCUCCAAAGCCAAUUGCGCCAUCUAUUCUUCCAUUGCCGAUAUGUCCUGUCAGUCGGCAGGAGUCAUGAACUCCAUCGGCAGUAUGAAAACCAUGCCGAUGUCGGCUGCCGAUUCGCCGCCUGCCGAUUCGUCACCUCCUCUGUCGUUUCUUUUGGGGCGCCAUACCUGAGACCUACCUUCCCUCUUGUCCGUCGUGUACUGUUGUUCUUCCUCUUGCUGUUCCCACUGGCGGAGACGUUGGAUUCUUCGUUUUUGAGACUUGGUCAAUCCAUUGGGGCACCACCUGGGGUUCACCGGUUUGGUUCGUGGUCUAGCAUGUUCCCACUCCGGACCGCGUCCUAAAGGGUUCUCGUCCGACGCCCGAGCAUCGGCCAUUUCUUCAAGUCGCCUGUGGACGCUGACCCUGUUUUCUGGCCGGUCAUGUCGAUCAAAUCUGCCCCCCGGCCCGUCAUUGCGCCUGCCUUCCGACCGGUCAUAUCGGUCACUUCUGCCCCCCAGCCGAUCACGUACUAGAGGGCGCCGGUCGUCUUGGUCGCGCCAGUUCCUGCUGAUCGGCUCUGGUCUCCCAUCUCUAGAGCGAGACCUGCUGAACGGCUGAUUGUUACGAUACGGGCCGUUGCACUCCGGGCAAUUAUCGGCCGAAGGCAACCUGAGGUUGCUUUCCCAACAGUGGAUGAAGAAUGGGCAUCUCCAGUGAUCUUCAUGUCGCCGCAUUGCUUCUUCCCGGGAUCUUAAGCGUUGAUGUUGCUGCUGAUAUUUGUUGAGCAGGAAUUGGGAAGUAAUGCGUGGUUCUCCUGAUCCGCCGUCAUCGUCCUCCAUCCGCCGCUUCCCUUUGACGUCUUCAGGCACCGCUUGAUUUCUGGGGUCUACGGCGCCACUCUUUUUAGCCGAUUCGGAUGUCAGCACCUUGGUUUGGAGCGAGUUCUUUCCCGUGUCAACCAUGUUGGUGGGGAAGGGGUGCUGAUCGAUCUUCAUCGGCUUGGCUGGUUUUGUUGGCACUUCAAAUUUAAGUCUGCCCUGCUCAAUGGCCGUCUGUAUCUGCUGCCGGAAGAUUUUGCACUCAUUAGUGUCAUGGGAGGUAGCGUUGUGCCACUUGCAAUAUUUCAUCUUCUUCAGCUGUUCGGCAGAAGGAAUAGUAUGAUAUGGCGAGAGCUUGAUCUGUCCUUCCUGGAGGAGGAGGUCGAAGAUUUUAUCGGCCUUUCAUGUGUCAAACCCGAACGUUUCUGGCUCCUUUUUGCCAAACGGACAUGAUAUCGGCUUCUUCCCUUUAACCCAUUCUGCAAGACCAAUUUCUGCAUCUUCUUCGGCCUCAACCUCUUCUAAGUAUGCCACCUUCUUCUAGAAGUUUCUCUGUGGAUCGAAAGAACGUACCUCCUGACCAGACAAUCGGUGGACGAUUUGGCUCAAGCUCUCAAACUCCUGUGAGGCGUACUUUUCUUUGAUGUGAGGCAGGAGACCUUGAAAGGCUAUAUCAGCCAGCUGUGCAUCAGUCAGAGCUAGAGAAUAGCAUUUGUUCCUGAUUUCCCGAAACCUCUGCACAUAUGAGGAUAUUGGCUCGUCGCUCCUCUGCCUGAGGCUGGUCAAAUCGGACAACUUCAUCUCAUGUACCCCGGCGUAGAAGUAUUUAUGAAACUGCUUCUCCAGAUCGGCCCAUGUAAUUAUCGAGUUGGGUGGUAAGGUUGUAAACCACUGGAAGGCCGACCCAGACAAGGAUGACGAGAAAAGUCUCACCCGUAGAGCAUCUUGCGCCGCUGCCUCUCCGCAUUGGAUGAUGAAUAUGUUCACGUGUUCUAUGGUUGAGGUGUCGUCCAGCCCCGAAAAUUUGGUGAAGUCAGGAACUUUAUACCGAUGGGGAAACGGCAGUAAGUCGUAUGUAGACGGGUAUGGAGUCCUGUAGGUGUAGGUCUGCGCCUUCGGCUUCAAACCGAAUUGUUCCUGAAUCACCUUUGCUAUACGUGCCGACCAGUCCGGCUGUUGCUGGUAAACCGUCGGCUGAGGGACUGGUACGUGCUGGUAUAUCAGCGGCGGGAUGGCUUGAUGCUGAGUGAAAGCAUGUGGCAUUUGAUGUGUCACAGCCGGCUGCAUAUUCAAGGUCGGCUGUUUGAAUGAGCCGCUCGUUUCAUCAUAUAGUACGAGCUCUGCUGCUUUGCUCAUCUCUGGUGCGACAGGCUGGUACGGCGGCAUGGUUGGUCGAGUGGCCGCCUGGAAAGACGCCUGGAAUUGGGGGCUUCCAUGGUUGGCCGAUUGAUCCUGAACGGCCGUCGCUGAUGGUGCCCCCCAAGGCGCUGGAUUAACCGGAGGGAACUGCGCAGAGGACAACUGAACGGGAUGUGGCUGGAGGUGUUGCGUACCAUUAAACCCCAUGGGGAUCGAUGAUGAGGAAGCGCCAGAACCCCCAACUGGAAAUUGGAUCGGCUGAGAAGCUGAUGACGGCAUUGUACACCGUAUUAGCAAGCACCGGGGAUUGAUCGAUGAAAGCUUGAUAAACGGAUUGUUGAACCAUCUUGGACAUCUUGUCCGAGUCCUCGGUGAUUGUGAUCUGGCCGGGAGUUGGAAACGGAGUCUUUUUGAUGGUCUCCCCGCUUCUGGUGUGACUGAAGGACUGCAAACACGCCUUCCGGUAGUAUGCCGACUGCUUCUCUAGUUCUUCCUUCUGGUCGUCCCUGAGAUCUGCCUCUGUCACUUCGAUGACGUUAUCUUCGGAUACUUCAGCAGCUUUCGACAUGGUGGCGGUUGUAUUGGUCCCACCGGGCGUGCCAAAAGUGUGUUGGCGCUAGAAAUCACUGAUCGAAUUCCCAGCGUCAGACACACGACCCGGGAGAAUCUGCUUAACUCCUGUUCAGGUGAUCGCCCUUGUAUCUCACCGCAUCUUCCAAUCUCUUCUUCUCAUUACGCCGAUUUUACUAGUGUCAAAAUCUGGCGUCAACAGUUCCAUAUCACACAACUCAAGAAGUGCCUCAGAGUUCUAGAAGAAUAGUUGCCUGUGGAGGAAUUGAAUAUUCAGGUUGAUCUAACUUAUACGGAGUAUCCGGUCAAGAUCUUGGAUAUUUUGAAAAGGGUUACCAGGAACUGGGUAAUAAGGAUGUGCAAGGUUCAAUGGAGUCACCAUACAGAGGAUGAGGCUACUUGGGAAAGAGAGGACGAGCUAAAGAAGGAAUUUCCUGAACUGUUUGCAGAAUCAUCCGAAUCUCGAGGACGAGAUUAUUCUUAAGGGGGGUAGGAUUUGUAACACCCAAAAUUUCAAACUUUGAAACUUGAUAAAAUUUUGCUAACAAUAGCUUGCAUUUAAAUUCCUUAGGCAUUUAAUAAUCUUUUCAAAUUAAAUUAAUACAUCAUAGGAGUUCAUUGUUGCGUUCAUGUUGGUGCAUAGUUUUUGUUUGAUUGACUUUGAAUUUGUGUUUGUUUUCAAAUUUGAAUUCGUUUGAUUCAAAGCUUUCUUCUUUCUUCUUUUCUUUCUUUUGACCCGCAGUAGCCUACCAUUCCUUUUUGGCCUAUUCUGUUGCUUUUCCCACACUGGCCCAAGCUUCCUCUAGCCCAUCCGCCAGACGGCCCAGCUCUCCUCCCGCACGCCCUCUCUCCAAUCACCAAUAGGCAGGCCCCGCUUGUCAUCUGCUUCCUUCCGCCUCUCCCGCACGUGCGCAGCUCCCGCGCCGCUUCUUCCCCGUGCCGCACCAGGACUCGAGUGCGAGUUCGACUUGGCCACGCCCCCGAUUCGCUAGUUUGGGCCCGUAUGCCAGGGGGCGUAUAAAGCUGCCGCCACCCCGGGUUCUCUCUUCCAUCAAACCCUAGCCGCACCAAAUAGCAGAAAUAGAGUUCCAACAGCGGCACAUUUAUAAUGCCUUCCCCAUGAAAAUAAUGUUGAUCUUCAAUCCGAACUUUGAGCAUGAGUAAACCGUUGGCUGAAGCUUCCAUGUACAAUUGGUGCAAUUUGUACAUCUUCGUUGGAAGACGGUCUACCAACUACGGCCACACAAAGUGGUUUACCUACCUCAAAUUUCCAUUUAGCAGCCCUAGGGUGCUUUGGGACGUGAUCCUACCCUCGAAGUUGAGCUGGGGUGAGAUUUGUAUCUUUGGCAGAUAGAAGCAAGUUCUUAUCAAACUCCAAAAGCACCUGGAGUAGGGCAAUCGAUUAGUUGGAUUGGGUUCCGAGCUAUGGAAUACUUGACCCACUUUUCCUCUUCUUCUGAAAAGCCUUUGUUAUUGAGCGGUCAUAGUCAGAUAGCAGUGGUUUCUCUAGAUUUUUCUCCAUGCUUCUAAUGAAAGCUUGAAAUUUAACCUUAUCAAGUGGUGGAUCUUUCUUCACGAGAGGCUUUGGUGCAAAGUAAGCUUUAACCUCAGCAUCCACUAUUGCGUCCAUUUCCACAACAGUCAUCUCGUAAGCUUUUUUGGGCUCUGGUUGCUUCUCCUUCAGCUUCUUCUGCUUCUUCUUUGUAGCCGCAGUAGGUGGAACUGAAGGCAUCUUUCACCGUGUAGCCUUGCUCAUAACAGGGGGAGGUGGACUCAUGCUAAGAUCCUUGUCAGUUGGUGGAGAGCAUGGACACAUGCUAGAAUCCCUGUUAGCUAGUGGACUCAUGCUAGGAUCCCUGUCUGGUAGUGGAGAGGGUGCCCUAGCAGAUGGCAUAGGUGAUCUUGCCCAUGAGUCUUGAGGAGAUGAUCCCAAGGUUGGGGGAUUCAGCUGCAUAAUACUUAUGUAGCGCUUCGGUACAGAAUCCAACCGUGGAUGGCUUCUCCUAGAUUCUUUUCCCCGUCACCUCCCGAGAUCUCCAGGUCAUCCUAACCGUUGACCACUCGGUCCACCCUAACUUUGGCGUAACCGCAAGCUGAAUCUCCAUGCCAUGAAUUAUUUGGUCUUGUGUCGGUUGUUCAGCCACACCAUAAGCCACCACAAUGAGCUUGUUUUUCAUGGGAGUAACAAACUCACAAGGGGCUCUCCUAGUGAUGUCAUCCACAGGGUGGCGUUAGUUUUCCUCAAACAUGUCAGAAGAUCCUCCAGUUGGGGUUUUCCGUGGAAGCGAUGCUGCUUCGACGCUGAGAGGGGCUUACGUCGACAUUAUCCCCUGAUGAUGCAGCUACCUGUUCAUUGUCUUAUUUGCUAAGAGCUAGAGCCACAUGCCGAUUGAUUGCUUCUUCCAUUCUUGCCUAUGUCAAAGCUACGUGUUCUUGCAACUCUCGCAGCUAUCGUGCAUGUUCGACCUUCCUUCUUUGACGACUUCUGUAGGAAUCAAUGUGGUCAUGAAAGGAAAACUUCCAUGCAAUUACUCCUUUGCCUCAGAAAUGUUCAAAGUGUUCUGGAUUACCUAGUACAAUAGUUAGAUCAUCCUUCUCUCGAUCAAGCACGGAAGAUCCUACGGCCAUAGCCUUUAUUAACUCAACAAGUCUCGUAGCCGCUUCUCUUAAUUCUUGGCCGAACAUAAAUGAUCCAUUUUUGGGAUUGAGUGUGACACCAUGAGCAUAAUACCAAUGCUUUGCUCGCUCGGAUCAUUCGAGAGUUGCUAGUACUAUUCCCUUAGCAAUUAUGUCAUCUUCCGUCCUCUACCAUUUGAUGAUCCCCUUCUUGUAACCUCCUGGCCCAAGACGAUGAAAGUAUUUCUUCUGAUGAGAAUUGUCGGUGUUGUUUUUAGUUGCCUUAGCGCUCUUUUUCUACUGCUUGAACUGCACAAAUGAAUCCUAGUGAUCUCUUAACUUCGGGUGCUUCGUGAAAUCUGGUGUAAGGCCCUUCUUUAUGUAGUCUUUAUUCAUAUUCUUCUUGUACGUCUGAAAAGCAAUUGCACUCUUCCCAAAGACCCAAUCUUUCACUUUACCUACAUCUACACCUUCAAACCUGAAGUUUUCUUUUAUCUUCUCCCAUAACAUUUCCUUCUCUCCAUCAGAGACCACGCUUAUGGGACCUCUAGUACGGGGACCACACUCUCAUCGAUUUCAGGACAUUUCCAAUUUUGAAAGCUUAUUGGGAUGUUAUCCCUAACAAGAAAUCCAUUUUGAUUCACCAAUUUUGUCUUAGCAUUGUCUGGACCAGUUGGUUCACCCUCUUCAUUAAUUUUCAUGAUGAUGAUAUGUCCCUCUAGCAUCUUCUUCGGGCAUCUUUUCUGUUUAGGCCUACUCGAUCCAGAUGGCUGAAAAUGACAGAACUAUUAAUUCCCAAUAAUCUUGAUAAGUAUAGAAAAAUCAUGUUUACGUAUACUAAUUGUUAUACCUCGUCUUGUUGCCCAUCAUUGCCUCCCUCGGCAAUUGGUUCCUCCUCAUUGCCAUCACCAGACAUGUUGAGAUAGAUGUCAGUCUAGCUGUGAUCAAUCUCUUCAUUUGGUUGAUCGUUCGUGGAACCUUGAGCAAUCAAGUCCAUUAGGUAUUCCUUGUCCAAUCGAGCAUGCUCAUUCUCUAAUCGUGUCAUUGUAACUAAUAUAAUAUAAAAAGUAUUAUUUUAAGAAAUAGUGGCAUCAACAAUAAAAAGAAUGACUAAAAAAGAAUCAAACACUUGGUACAGUUUGUUAUAAUAAAUGACUAAAAAUUUAUUUGCAGUGAAUUGCGUGUCAUUUACAACCGUCAUCAAAUAUUUUCUAAAAUUUUAUGCACAAUUAUUAAAAAAAGCACUACAAAAAUGAAUGACUAAUAGUUAUACAUUCUGUACCAAUAAAUGACUACAAAAAGAGUCAAACACUUUUACAAUUUAUUACAUUUCUAAUAUUUUCUGCAUAUUUCUAUAAUUUAUUGAACUAUUUGAUGAAUUUCUAAUAUAAAUGACAACAAAAAUAUUUACAACGAAACGUAGUCGUUCACCAUCAUCAAAAUUCUUGGAAAUUUCUAGAAGUAUCAAAGUAAUUUUUACUUUUUCGUAGACAUUUCUAAAAAUUAACAGGAUACAAUAAACAUGGCAUAAUUAAUGUUGUACAAUUUACAAGUACUAGGCUUUUCCAUGAAUUUUUCUAUAAUUUCUACCUAAUGCAAGAAAUUUUGUAUAAUUUCUAGCUAAUUCAAGAAUUUUUCUACAAUUUCUAGCUAUUUUUAUAUAUUGAAGAAAUAAAAAAGGAAACAAAUUAAAAAAUGACGUCACCCGGGCGUGGGCUUACAUCAGCAGAGAAGACGCGAAGCCCGUGGCUGACCGUGCAGUACGGGCACAGGGGAGGGGGCGGCGGGGGAGAGGAGGCUGGCGGGGAGGUAGAGGUGGUGCGCGAGGAGGGUGGUGGCGGAGUGGUCCUAGGUGGCAAUCGACGUCGGCGUCUGGGGAGAGGACGACAACGAGGGCGGUGGCGAGGCGAGUGGGGUCGGGGGCUUGAUGUUGAUUAGAUAUACAAUAUAAAAAUAUUAGAUGUAUUUAAAUAUCAAACAUAGUAAAAUUAUUAAUUUUAAUUUAGUAAUAGGUUAUAAUGGUCAUAAUACUUAUGUUAACAUUAAAAUUCAAAAAAAUAGAUAUUUUGACCAUGCAAAAAUUUAGAAGAAUAGUGACUAUAGUGUUAUUAACAUGUUUACCAUGAAUUAAUCAUGUACUUGUCUAAUUGUACAUAAAUUUUAUAGGGUUCUUACAACUUAGAGUAUUCACAAGGAUGGUGAGGUCGCUUUUAGGGUUGUUUGGGGUUCAUUUGGGGAGUUAUUUACUUUUGAAUGUUUCUUUUAUCUCUUCCAAAAAUUACCCAUUCAGUUUAUUAGGACCUAUAUUUCUUUAUUCACUUAAACUAAUUUCUUAUCCAAAAUUUGAUUCCACAAGCGAACAGUAACAUAUGGCAUUGAGAAAAUUACCACACCUUACUUAUGUCAUCACUGAGUUACUGUAAAAAUUUGGGAUCCAUUGGAUUACCACAAAACGAAUUAAAAGUAUUUUACCACCAAGGUUAGCAUGCACUUAACCAUUUUUAUCUCAAAACCUACAGCGAUUCUGAGGGUGAAACUUUAACAGUAGAUUGAAGGCGUGUUACAGAGACUUUAGUGAAUUUUUCAUGAUUUUUAGAGAAGGACAUCUAUUUCCCAUAUUUUCCUUCUAUUUAUCUUGCUUUAUAAAAGAAGGUGGGUUUCUUUCUAUUUCUGACCAUGUUCCAUAUUUUUCCCGUGAACUACACCUUAAAAUUGAGCUACUCCAAGUGGUUUCACAUUUUUCUCAGCUCUGGAUUAAAACUUAUGCAAAAAGAAAGAUUUAACCCUAGAUUUCAAAUAUAAGGCUAAAACAGUGAUUUAAAGUUCUACUCCAAAGACCUAAGUAUAUUUUUGAGCUUCUACUUAUUGAAACAUACACCACAGAGUUGGAUUUACCUUUUUAGCAUUUUUAUUCGAUUUACUAUGAUUUAAAAGGCCUAAGCAAGAAAUAAAACUAUAGGGUAUUAUUUCCAAUAGUAACAUGGGCAAGAUUAUUUUUGUAUGAAACUAGACAGUUCACUGAGUUCAAUAAAAGUGAUUUGGUAUUUUUCUUAUUUUUCUAUGAUUUAUGGUGCAUUUACAAAGUUUAUCCUAUUUUCUGCCGAUUUAAAACAAUAAACCGAAAACAACUUACAAACUAACCCUCGGGUCUACGGUUUAAUUGCGCAGGGGUCCUUAGUUCUUGCGCUAAGGCUCCUGGAAGAAUGUACACGACACAGAUAGGUCCUCGCGGCGGCCGGCGGUGAUCUUCGCCCGAUUCCGGUGAUGUGAGGCUCGGGUCAGGGCAACAAGUUACCAGGGAGGAGUGCGGGCUCACCUAGGGUCGAUUGGCAGUGGUUAGGGCGGUGAUCAGGCUCGGCGGCGGCAGAACGGCUUGGGGAUGGAAGCGGCUUCGGCGGCAAGGUCCCGGCGAAGUUCCAACGACGGCGGGGCUCCGGGAGGGCAACACGUCGCUCGGAGACGUCUGCGGUGGUGUGGCGGAGCGAGCGGUGGUGUCAGCAAGGUGCAGGGUGACACGGAGGUUGGGGCUCCAUGGGAGACCUGAGCGGUGGCACUGGAAAAAUAGGGGAGCGGCGGCACUGGUAGUGGCAGAGGGCGGUGUAGGCGGCGCCAUAAGUCCUUUUAUAGGGUUAGGGAGGUGCGGUCGAGUGAGGCAGAGCUUCGGGCACGGGCGGAUAGGAUCGGAGGGCUCGGUGGGCUGCGGGCCGGAGCUCCAUUAGCGGCGACGCAAUUAGCCGGGGCGCGGAGACCAUAGGAUAGGAUCUCCCGGUCAUUGGCCUUGGGGAAAACGAGUCGUGCAAGCGCGGCUUUACCGCGGUCGGGGGUUGGCGGAGCGAGGCGCGCGUGCGGUCAUUGUCCGGGUGGCGAUAGGCGGUCAGAGCUUGGCCGGUCCGAGGCGGCGGCAUCGCGUCCUCCGGCGGGCGGAGCUUUCUCGGGACGGAGCGAAGAGAUGCGUGACGCCAGGGGCGGGAUAAGCGCGCUCGCCUACUAGGCAUUCGGGCACGUGAGCGGUCUUAUCGCAGCAGCUGGUUGGGCGAUGAUGACCUCACCGGUGGAUGGUGGCCACGCGGCGGACGGCGCACGAGCGAACGUGCGGGCGCGCUCCGGGCACGCGCGGGGCGGGGUGCUCCUCGGGGCAGUCAAACAGGGCCGGUUUUGGGGCCUUUUUCUCCAAACUUUUCAAAAGAACUCGUGAAACUCCAAAAGUAAAACUUGUAUACCAAACAUUCAGCUCCAAACUUUACAAAAGGAGUUUGCUAGAAAAUGAUAUGAAUUUGAAACUAUGGAGUUGCAAAGUUUGGCAGAACGCUGGUCUCCGGGGACUUAGGCAGAUCUCGGUUUUGCUGUUUUUCAGCAUUUUGGCCAACUUUGGCUAAGAUUUUGGGUAAUGUUCCCUUUGAAUCAGGCCAAAGUGUAAUUGAAGGAAAAGUUCUUCGGUCUUAGGACUCCAACUUCUAUUAAGGACUUUUCUUGAGUUCAGUUCAAAUUUUUAGAGGAACUGGCUCGCCAAGAUGCACGCUCUAGACAUUUUCCAGACUUAGCGUUGGAAUGCAAAAAGGCUGAGUUGACUGUUUUACCUGAUUUUAACCAAGUUUUUGAGCAGGUUCAGUUGCGAUUUGGACCUAGGUCAGUGUAACAAAGUUGGAACACACUCAAGGAACUACAACUUCUAUUUAAAGUCUGACUUGAGGUUAGAUAUAGAAUGGUGAGAUAACAGGUUGCAAAGUUGAGGAAAAACAUGAAUUCCAGGACAAGUCAUUUGUAGGGUUUUGAUGUACUCCUGAUUUAAUUCUUGUUUUUGACCUUCUCCCACUCCAAAUUAGCCAAAGUGUUAUUAAUAAAAGUUGUUUAAAAAUAAAAAUUUUACAAUUCUUAUUUAGACAAAAAUUUAAGUUGGUAAAUAGAAACUCAAGUUUUCUAUUUAACUUCAAAAAGAGCUUUUUAGGGGUAAUUUGGACAUUUCACCUCCUCUACUUUGUGACUAAUGACUUGCUCAAGUUUAACUGUACCUAAUUAAGGUACAGUUGUUACAGUGAUGUUGCUGCACAGAGCUAAAAAGAAGCACGUCGCGAGAUGAUUUAGCGCCGUGAUGCGAAAGCACGACGCCAGGUGAUUUAGCGCCGUGCUAUUUUCCCUACACAAAGUCAAAAACUUCAUACAGGUAGAUCACAUAUUAAUUAGGCAGCACACAAAUCACAAAAUAAUUAGACAACAAAUAAAUCACAAAAUAAUUAGAGAGCAAACAAAUCAUCACAAAAGUACAUUAGGUCCACAAAUCACAAAACUACAUUUAGUCCACACAGGAUCACAGGUUCACAGAUUAAGUCCAAAGGUUCACACAUAAAGUCCACAAAUCAUCCAAGUUCACCUCUUAUCAAACCUCUAAUCCAAUCCCUUCCUUCGGCAUUUAUCUUCACCUUCAACUCUAACUUUCUCUCAAACAAAUUCACCUCCAAUUGACAGCACGCAUCCUCAAAAAGUUCAAAGUUAACCUUCACAUGGUCUUUCUUGAACAAAUUCUUGGCAAGAUGCCGAGUGCACCAUCAAUGAUGAACCGAACCAUGUCCUGGGAUGACUUCCCUAACUGUAUUCAAAAUACCGACAUGCCUGUCUAACAAUACACAAAUCGACCUCCCAGGACCAACAACAUGAAUCCAUACAAGCCUCAUGAACCAUGACCAGCUGUCCUUGUUCUCUUUCUCAACCAAACCAAAUGCUAGCGGCAAAAGAUAGUUUUCUGCAUCGAUACCAAAAGCAAUCAACAAUGUCCCCUCAUACUUGCCGGUCAAGAAAGUGCCAUCAAUCGAUAGAACUUGCCUGCAAUGUGUGAAAGCCUCCACACACUGACCAAAGCACCAAAAAGCACGAAAGAACAUCUCUCGGUUGUCUAUCCACUGUUUGGCAAAGGCACAUAUUCAUAGUGCAUACUAGGAUUAACUGCUUUCAUUGCAUUCAACAUGGCCAGCAAACGCUCAUAUGCCUCCUCCCAAUCUCCAUAUAUCAACUUUACUUCACGUUGUUGAGCUCUCCAUGCUUUCCCAUAUUUGAUUGUGUACUGCCAUUUCAAUUUGACAAUCUGAAUUGCAGCACCCACACGAAUGGUCGGCAUUUGCUUGAUGACAGGGUACAAACGGGUGGCAAUGUACUUAUACGUCAAUUGAUGAUGCUUCUGACUAGGCUCCACAGAUCCACAAGUGUGUGGCCCAACAACACUGGUUAUCUUAAACUUCUGUGUACCCUUUACCUUCCGAGAACAAACUUUCCAUGCACAACCUUUACUCUCACACUUUAUGGUGUAACAUCGAAGCACGUGCGAGUUCUUUACAUUGUAUGGUCGAUUAUGCACUACAUCGUACUCCUUCAACCAAAUCUUAAGUGCCGACGUGUCCUUAAAUGCAUGACCCUUCUCAAUCAUGCUGCUCGAACACAACCUCAGAAUCUCCCUCUCAACUACACCCCCAUCCGCCACUGCCUUGUGUGAUUGGCUAAUGUCACAAAAAUAAAAAACAAGCACGUCACGGUCUAGAAACAACCUCUGGAGAAUCUGCAUGGUGCUAGGCGACAAAGGAGGUGUCAUCAUCAGAAUCACCUGCCCUCGUAGCCUCAUAAGUAUCAUCAUCACCGCUUACAUGAACACCCACACGGUUGGAGGCCUCACAAGCAAUGCCACGUGCUGGGACUUCAAUAGGAUUUGGAGGUGACUCAUCAUGCCCAAUAUCAGCAAAUCCACCACCUCCACUAUCAUCAUCAUUGGACUCAGGGGUCUUGAGUCAAUGCAACCUCAGUAGGGGCAGAAAGAACCACAUGGACCUCAACAGCUUCUUGCAAAGGUGAUCCCACUGCGGGUGAAUUGUUUAGGUCCAAUGAAACCCCAGGAGGAAAUCCUUAACACCUUCUACACAAACAAAUACAAUGCUUUAACCUCACUCUCCAACACAACUGACAUAAUUUUCCCACUCAUCUUGACUACCAAUGGAGAUCAACCUCUUUAUGCGUGGACCCUUUGAGGACCCAACAUCAAUCGCACCUUGCAAUAUCACAUCCACACCGUGACCGGUCCCACCUCACCUCUCUUUCAACCUUUCCACAAUGCCACUGAAUGUUGGUCUAACACUAAAAAGCAACGAGUUCCUCCAUGUUCUCAAAAUCAAAACCGCCUAUCUCAUUCCUCUUGACUAUCCCAACAUGAUAUAUAGUCACUAAUUUAUCCAUCUAUUCCAAAAAAAUAAACAAGAACUCAUCAUUUUAUUGAACCAUUGUGAAAAGGCAAUAAUCUAGCAUGUCUGCGAUGCCUAAUGACCAAUGAACUAGUUGAAUUUUUUAUACGAUCCCUCUCUUAAUUCCACUAUAUUUCUACGUAUGCCAAUAUACAUGGAGUUCAAAAAUGUAAGGGAAAUCACAUCUACGGGAUGCACAAAUCAACUAUACAUGCACCUAGAGUACUAAUACACACAUCUAAACCUUCAAUCUCACUACGAACCGAUGGGAAAUUCACAUUUUAACCUAGGGUAUCACUUGGGAAAUUCACGGAAUGUGGCUAUAAGAAGAAAUUCCAAUGGACAAAAUCAACAGGGGAAGGGAGGUUACCUUGCUUGAUCCGGAUUUGAACUCGCCCGAGCUCGAAUUGGUGGAGAAUGGCUAGAUCUAGAAGGGGAAGGGAGGAGGGAGGGGGCACCAACUGCUCCUCUCUAUUCAAAAAGAAUAAACAGAGAGGAAGGGAGGAGGGAGGGGGCACCGACCUCUCAAAAGAACAAAUACAGAGGGAGGAAGGGGGAGGCGACGGCGGGCUGGCACCGUGGGAGCGGAUAAGGUUUCGGCAGAACGGCGCCAUGCCCCUUAGCGUCGUGUGGGAACAGCACGAUGCCGUGGUCUUUAGGGUCGUGUAUUUCGGCACGGCGCCACGGGUGUACUUUGACGUGGCAAUGCACGGUGCCAAAGAUCAUGGUGUUGUGCCUUUAACAUAUGGCGCUAAGUGAUGUGGCGCCGUGACUAAGGUCCAUUUUCGGGAAUCUUUCCGCGUGGUCCAGAUGUAAAAGAUUUACCAAAAAAGGACAAAAAUGAAAAAAAAAAUAUACACUCCUCUCUCGCCUAUCCCUUUCCAUUCCUUGGUAACCGUAGGUAACUGCCAGUCCAUCCUAGUCGCAUGUCGUGGCAAUUCCAUUCUACCCACUUAAACGUCAAAUUUUAUUUUUGAUAUGUCCUUAUUGCACCAUCGUUAGUUCGUAAUUUACUUUCCGUCCGACAAUUUACAUGACGCUCUAGGCUUUGUCUUGUUACUUUCUAGGACAAUUGCUAAAUUAUAAUUUGGUUAGCACGCAGCCACAUUUCACAGAGCGCUUUGCUUCGAUGAUUGUGCGAUGUUCGUUGGUUAUUUAAUUUCGUCUCGCAAAAUACAACAAAACUAUGCAAUUAGUUUUUAAUUUCGUCUACAUUUAGUACUCCAUGCAUGUACCGCAAGUUUGAUGUGAUGGGGAAUCUUCUUUUUGCAUAGUGUCAAAGUUAGGAGUUGGGGGUGAAGUAAACAAGGGGCAAGUUUCUCUUGUAGCGAGUACAGAAAGUCAAAAUCCGUAAGACCACUUUAUAACUGUACGACUACAAGUCGUAGUAGCUAUCUAGCAGCCAAGGAUAGUCUGAGUGCGCACUGUUAUCAAGAUUGUCAUGUAAUUUUUCCGACGAAAUGAAACUAUCACUCUCAGUGCACAGUUUAUAAAUAGCCUGGAUCAUUUAAUUUUUGCAUUGUGUUAUGAUCAAAUGUAUCAUGCUAUGAAACCAUAACAUGCUCAGUGCAAGUUUCAUGAGGUUUCAUAAGACCUGGUAGCUGUGCCAACAGUUUUAUAAAUAGCCUGGAUCAUUUAAUUUUUACAUUGAGUUAUGAUCAAAUGUAUCAUGCCAUGAAAUCAUAACAUGCUUAGUGCAAGUUUCAUUAGGUUUCAUAAGACUGGGUAGCUGUGUCAAGUGGGUUCAUCGAAAUGAAACUCCCCUCCCCUCAUAAUUAACGUCAGCAGUUUUACUGAUGUGAUAUGUGAUUUAAUACCUGUAAAAUCCCAUAACACUCUCAUUGAGACUGGACUAAAAAACCCCAUAACACUCUCACUCUCAUUGAGACUGGACUAAAAGUGACUAAAUCACAUAAGCAAGACCACUUUGCAAUCUGAAGAAGCAAUGUCACCACGUGCCAAGGUCCCCUUUGCACCCUUGCAACUUUUCUUUGUGGGUUAAAAGAAUAUGCAAGGCAUGUGACCCCGAAAGCUAAAACUUGGACAGUCUGAAAGCGAAACAAUGGAGUACUAAACUCCAUGAUGCAUUAUAGUAUCACAUGUAAACACACACUAUCCGAUUCCACUGACCACUAUCAUUACAAAAUGAUCACCACAACCCAAUAAACAAUCCAAAGAGCUACAUCACACACCUCUAAGCCUUCCUUUUUUCCCCUUCUUCUCUGAAGAAUCCAGCAACAAUAUAUAUAUAAAUAAAGUAAAAUGGCCCUUCUUAUUUUCUGCACCAACAAGGGACACGAAUUGGACAAAGAAAAGAAGAGGGUUCCAAUAAGUCACAAGAAAAACAUAACACAUCAG
rnacentral:lncRNA from 1 species